GGUGAGGAUGAAAUGAAGAUGCAAGUAGCUGAAGGGUCGGUUUGCACUGAUGCUUAAGUGUAUGUAAGGGAUGGCACUCGGUAACCGAAUGUUGCGGAUGAAGAAUAUUGACUGCGGCAUGACUAAAUAUUGUCCUCAGGGUUGAUGGCUUAGUGACCUCUGAAGCUUCUGUUGCUGAUUCUCUGUUUCUACUAUGUACUGUAUUGUUCUGCUCAUCUGAGACCUGUAUCUGCUAUUUGAGGAGGAAACUUUGCGUGCCACGAUUCUAUCUUUCAUCGAAAACUUACAAGUCAUAUGUAAAACUUUGAGUGUAUCAUCAGUGAAUGGAUUUUCGGUUCAGGUUUUAAGAACCUCACUGAGUGGGAGCAAAUUGCUAUCUAGUUUUGUACUGCUUGUGUUUCAAAUUCAGGAGUGUGUAGAACUGUGUCAUGCAACGAUGUGGACGCAUAAAAAUUCUAUGUAUGUGUGAAAAUUCAGUAGGAGAUCCCAUGAUAAAAUAUCUCGUAACAAAGUUUUUUUUUUGAGCAGCUCGUACUACAUGUGGAUUUUUUUAAAGAAUAUAUUGAUACUUCUGAAUAUUGCCCUACGUAGCCAAAAUCUGUGUAUAGAUAUAUACUUUUUUUUGAAACUUAUAAACCCAGAUACUAUUUUAACAUGAGAAAACAUUAUAAUUCGGAUUGAGAGCUCUUGGGCCUUAGUACUGGGUUGUUGGGCUGCAGUCCCGGAAAUACAUGUAGCCCAGUCGACUUUCGUUGCCCAAAAGGCCCAGAAUAAACCGAUUCUCACUCGCGUGAAGCUUCUUCAUCUUCAGAGUCGCAUUCCACCCCACUUCCAUGCCGCCCUCGCCGUCGCGGCCGCCGCCGGCGGCGGAGGUCUCCGACGCUGAGAUGUCCGACGGAGAGGUACCGCCUCGCCAGGCUGCGGAGGACUUAGUCAGGGGAGCGGCGAACCGCGCCGCGCCGGGCUCGGCCGGCGAAGAGGACGAGGAGAUUUACGACGACGACGACGAGAGCUCCGAUUACAACUCCUACGACGACGGCGACGACGAAUCCGAUGAGAGCGGCUCGUACUACGAGGACCACGAGGAGGAGGAGGAGCGGGAGGGCGCCGGCGGGGACAGGGCCUCCGGGGGCGCGGAGGAGGAGGCUGCGUCGGCCGGCGUGGGCGGCGGCCCAAAGGCGGAGGGGAGUCCCCGGGCGGCGGCCACCUGCUGCAUCUGCAUGGAUCCCUGGGCCUCCUACGGCGCUCACCGCAUCUGGUACAUUUCACCACAUCUGGGCAUCCUUCACUGAAUAAAUUCCUCGUUGUCUCUGAAGAAAAAUCUGUGCUUGAUGCAGCUGCAUUCCAUGUGGACAUGUCUACGGCAGAUCCUGCUUGGAGAGGUGGCUACGCCGCGGCGGCAACACCAGCGCCAAGGUACUACGGCACAUGAUCAUCAUUAAUUUAGCAUCAAUCUUGCAGACUGCAGAUGUGUUCAUGGGAGGCUGCUUACUUAGCAAUUUACCAUGCUCGUGUUCAUUUGGAGUUCCUUGCUAAGCUACUUUUACCUGUUCACAGUGCCCUCAGUGCAGUGAAAGGUUCAAGCACAGGCACAUCAUCAAUCUCUACUCGUCGGUGCAUCUCUGGAACGAUUGCUACCUCAAAGAGGUUGCCGUUUCUCUGCUUGGUCCUCUGUUAUAUCGCUUCUGUUCAUUGAAGGUUCUGCCUCAAAGAGAUACAACCAAGAGUUACAUUGUCGAGUAUUCCAUCUCUAGUUCUUAGACUUUAUGUCAUGGGAUGGAUAUGCGCGGCACUGCACUUUUUAGCUUAUGUCCAAAUUAGUACUAUCUUGCAUUUCCUCUGCCAUUUCCCGGUCUCAAUUGUUAGAUUGUUACUGGUAUUUUGAAAUGAAGUACUGUAGUUGGUUGUGGACUGAAAUUGGUGGCGAAAAACAUACUACAAAAUAAUUUACACCGCAUGCCUAUUUUUUAUGUUAUAUAUGUCUGAUUAUGGAUUGGCAACGGCCUUAUCGAGACAUCAUCCAUUCCCACUCUCAGAUCCGAGCUCAAAGUACGAGUUCAAGUUCUUCUGUACACCCUCGUCCACAUGCUAUUUCAGUUAGGAUCUCCCAACUCGAGGUUAGCUCUCCUCCAUUCAUCCUUGCCGAUCCUUACAUGCCUGCAUUGCAAUGAUGAUGAGAUUGCGAUUACAUGUUGUAGGCCCGGAUGGAGGAAGAAAGGAGGCUACGGGAGGAAGCCAUGAGAAGGCAAGAGGAGAGGAUAGCGGCACAGAAUCAAUUCUUCGAGGAGAGGAUGGCGGCACAGAAUCAACUCUUCGAGGAGAGGAUGGAGGCACAGAGUCAAUUCUUCAAGGAGCAAAGGGCGGCACAGCGUCAAGACAUCGAGGAGAGCAGGGCGGCACAUAAUCAAUUAUUGGAGGAGAGGAUGAGUCAAGCCAUCAAGGAGAGCAGGGCGGCACAGAAUCAAUUCUUUGAGGAGAGGAUGGCGGCACUGAGUCUAGCCUUCAAGGAGAUGCUGGCGGCACAGAGUCAAGCCAUCGAGGAGAGGAUUAGUCAAGGCAUCAAGGAGAGGUUGGAGGCAGAACGAGCUCUCUACCAGGAGCAAUUCCAGGUUAAUUCUUGCCCAUAAUAGUCAAGAGGGAGUGUUAGUUUCAUUACAAACCUUCGUCUUUGCUACAGUAUGUAACCUUGCCACCUUGAAAAUAAUAUGCAGAGUCCUUAUGCUCUCCACGGCAGAAGUCCGCCAUCGAUGCCAAGCCUUCCUCCUCCACGUGCUCCACACACUCAUGUGAUCGAGCUCUCUUCAUACCUUUCAAUCGCCAUUACUGCCUGCCCUUCCUAGCAUAUAUAGAGAGUUGUGCUUACUAUCUCAUGCUUACAGACGCAUCUAUCAGCUAGAUCGAAUGACCCGGGAGGUGGUACAUCCGCACAUGGUCAAGGAAGCUCAAGCACCCAUCAUGAUGGUGGUACUCCAAGGUUUUCGACUCGACGAGUCGUUCUGGGGUACGAGUCGUGCUGUGCCGCUCUACUAGACGACGACCCCCAUGAAUUUUUUAGCAAUGCUAUCAAUCACACAUAUACAUUGCCAAACCUUGUCAACUUACGGUAACAACUCUGUGGACGCAUCUGAUUCAGCUAUCAUUCUGAUCGUAGGGGACCGCUGAACUCCUAUUCAGCUGUCAUUCUGAUCGUAGGGCACCGCUGAACUCCUGGACAAGGUUUGCCGGUAUGCGAGAACCAGAUGCAACAAUACACGCUCUGCGUUGAAAAGCGGCUCAAGGAUAAGGUUGAGCAGCCGAAGGAGUGUAUGGAGCUGAUACCAAGAAAUCAGAGCAUGUCGCACACCGAUGUCAUGAACUUCAUGUUACAGAACUGGCCUGAGCCUUCUCUCCAGUUAUCCAGCUUCCGACGGCGGACUGAUCCACAAGUGGUAUCUAUCAGCCGGCUGGUCAAUUGCUGAAACUUGUGCACACACAUUUCCUCUUUCCACUGGAGUAGUUAGUAUCUGUGAUAUGUGGAUAUACACCUUCCUCUGCUCUGCCCAUUUCACGGGAAACCGGCAUGAAUGCGAUAGUUGGCUGCACUACUCUCCUGGAUUAAUGCGAAAGCAAUCUCUUGUGGCUCUGCUCUGCAUAAAUUUUUGGCCAGAGAUUGUGCUUUGGUGUUAAGAGCAUUUCCAGCCGUUCGGCCUCAUAGGGGCUAGAAAAAAGCACCAUCUGGGGAUGAACCGGUGAUAACUUCGGCGUGGGGCCGAUCGGGUUCUUAGCCGCCGCCCUCAGGUCGCCCACAGACGCCCUUUUUUGAAAAGGAAAUCGGCCAAACAUGACAUAAAAUUCGUCCAAACUCAACGAUUUCAUUUAUAUUUGUACAAAAACUAAAAAACAUAAAUUAAAACUAACUAAAAACGACAUUACUACGUCGUCGCCCGCUUUCUACAUGCCAAGGAGCCUAUAGAACCGGGUGUAGUCGCCGCCGCCGUCCCUGCUGCACCCCUGACCAGCGUCGCCGAUGCGCGGGGGUUUGGACGACCCGGGCGCCUCCUCGUCGUCGCUGUCGACGAUGACACGCUGCCGUCCUCACGUCCGCGGCGCCGAGAUUUGAUCUUCUCGAAGGCCCGGUGCUGGCGCUCCAUCUACUCGCAUAUGUAGUCCACCUUUGCCCACUUGAGGGUGGUCUCUUGUCGGCGGCCAUGGCCUCAUGCUCCUUCUUCACGGGGAGCAAACCCGGCUCGGUCUACGGUCUGACGAGUCGGUAGGAAGAAGGAGAGGGGUGGCCGCCCUCGUUGAUGACGAGGGUGUCGCCGUGUGUGCGGCGCCCAAGCGGCGUCUCCGGCUUGACGGGGCGGAGCGCCGGCGAACCGGAGGAAAGAGAGCCAGAGCCCGACGAUGAGAAGGUCGCCGUCUCCAUUCGCCGUGGCGUCCAGGAACUACUGCGGCGGCGAGAGAAGGACGGGGGCGCCGGGUACUCCAGGCGCGGCGUGUUGCCGGCCUCGAUGUGCUUGAGGACGGCUUCGAGGGUGCAGCCGAGCACGCCCCACCAUUCGUGCCGCCCGUCGGAGUUGAGGCGGCCGAGGGGCAGGACGCCGUUUGUGAAGGUGACCUGGUCGGCGUGACGGUGGUCGAAGUACAUCGUCCACAGCGUGUGGCUGUCGGCGACGUACCUUGGCUCGUUCCGCUUCUUCUCCGACAAUGACGACCAGAUGCACGCUUUCUCGGCACGCCGUUCAACACCGGUGGACGCGGGUGGCACCGGGACACCGGCGGCGCUCAGCCUCCACGAGCCCGGGACCCGCAUGUCUGGGGGUGCCGGGUAGUCGGCGCCGUAGAGGAGGCGCGCCUCGUCCUCACUCAGAUGGCGGCGGCCGAUGCUGUUCGCGUCCGCGCCGUUGCCUAGGAAGCGCUCGGCCAUUGCCUGUCGACGGGGGCCUAGAGGGGAAGCAAGGGGCGUCGGAGAAGUCGGCGACGAGAGGGGUGUCGGUGGCAAGGGCUUGUGCGUUCACCGACGAGGAGGUUGGCUUUUAUAGCCGUGGAUGGGUGGUAAGACGGCUGCCGCCAUGUGCCGCGUGGCGGGAGAGGACUGGACAUGCGUCAUCGCGGCUUCACUGCGCUGCCCGUGAGACAUCAAUGAAAGGUUGACCGGCGUGGCAGCGCGACAUCCUUGACAUUGAUUCCCACGGGAACCGAGGCAAUGAGGACGACUGUGACGCCCUCGAUUCAAUCGUACACUAAUCAUACACGCAAAUGUGUACGAUCAAGAUCAAGGAGUCACGGGAAGAUAUCACAACACAAAUCUAGACACAAAUUAAAAUAAUACAAGCUUUAUAUUACAAGCCAGGGGCCUCGAGGGCUCGAAUACAUAAGCUCGAAUACACAAGAGUCAGCGGAAACAACAAUAUCUGAGUACAGACAUAAGUUAAACAAGUCUGCCUUAAGAAGGCUAGCACAAAAGCAACAACGAUCGAAAAGGCAAGGCCUCCUGCCUAGGAGCCUCCUAACUACUCCAAGUCGUCAGCGGACGACACGUAGUAGUAGGCAUCCUCGGGGUAGCAGUAGUCAUCAGUGGUGUCGUCUGACUCCUGGGAUCCGUCAUCUGGUCGCAACAAUCGGGUAUGGGAGAAAAGAGGUAGCAAAGCAACCGUGAGUACUCAUCCAAAGUACUCGCAAGACUUACAUCAGAUCUAAACUAAGUAUGCAUCUGUAUCAAAGGAAAUGGGCUAUAUCUGUGGACUAAACUGCAGAAUGCCAGAAAGAAGGGGAAAGCCUAGCCUAUCGAAGACUAGCAUCUUCAAGCAUCUUGCAGCAUAUAGAAGAGUAUAGAUCAACAUAAUGUAAAGUAGUAGUGUUAUCAACCUCGGCCAGAGAUCCUUUCUCGACUCCCUGUGAGAAAGCAAUCCCAGAGCCAUACUAUCCAUUUCUCAUCGCAAUCCAUUUCUCAUAUCCAUUUCUCAUAUCAAGUAUCCAGUUAUAGUUGUAUCGAUCGGGAUACAACUCCAAGUGUCCGUUACCGUAGGACAGGCUAUCAAUAGAUGUUUUCUUCCCUGCAGGGGUGCACCAACUUACCCACCACGCUCGAUUAACUCUGGCCGGACACACUUUCCCGGGUCAUGCCCGGCCUCGGCCAAACAAUACGUCGCAACCCGACCUAGGCUUAAUAAAGAGGUCAGCACGUCGGACUAAACCUAUGCCCCCAGGGGUCAUGGGCCAUCUCCCCGGGAACUCUUGCACGUUGCGUACGCGGCCGGUGAGCAGACCUAGCUACCUCCUUCAAAAAGGCAGGUGCUUACCAGUCCAACCCAGCGCGCGCCGCUCAGUCGCUGACGUCUAUUAAGCUUCGACUGAUGCAUACGACGCAUAACGCCCAUACUAUGCCCACGUGAUGGUUAGUGCUAUCAGGCCAGAGGCCCCUCAGAUCAAAUAUCCAAAUCGUAGUGGAUUAGGAGCAUGCGGUAACAAGCAGAGACUCGCGAAAGAUGUGACCCCAUUGCCCCGUCUCGAGUACUUGCGGCAAGGGCUAAGAAUGCCCGGUCACGCCUCGUAAGUAUCUCGCGGGCACCUUCCAGGUAAACCCGACUCCACAUCACUCGCUAUUAAGCUCGCGCGGGUACCCCUCAGGGCCGAUCCGUCUUUAGUAACAUGGUUCAGUGUAAAGUCAUAGUAACCAUAGUAACUGUGUGUCUAACACUAAGGGGAAAACCCGAGGAAUCACCCCCAGUGAAUUCCACUUGAUGUUAUCAUCAAGGUGAACGUAAGAGGAUCCACCCUCGAGGUUCACACUUGAGGGGUUGCACGACAGAGCCGUAACAGAAGUGGUUAAGGAGGAAAUCACCCUCGAUGACCUCGACCGUUUAGCUACAUGAUACGUCUCCAACGUAUCUAUAAUUUUUGAUUGUUCCAUGCUAUUAUAUUAUCAACUUUGGAUGUUUAUGGGCUUUAUUAUACACUCUUAUAUUAUUUUUGGGACUAACCUAUUAACCUAGAGCCCAGUGCCAGUUUCUGUUUUUUCCCUUGUUUUAGAGUAUCGCAGAAAAGGAAAAUCAAACGGAGUCCAAUUGACCUGAAACUUCACGGAACUUAUUUUUGAAAGGAAAGCAACCCGGGAGACUUGGAGUCCAUGUAAGGGAAGCAACAAGGAGGCCACGAGGCAGGGGGGCGCGCCCACCCCCUGGGCGGGCCCUCCACCCUCGUGGGCCCCUCGUGGCUUCCCUGGCGUACUUCUUCCGUCUAUAUAUCUCCAUAUACCCUAAAAACAUCCGGGAGCACAAUAGAUCAGGAGUUCCCUCGCCAGAAGCCUCCGUAGCCACCGAAAGCCAAUCUAGACCCGUUCCGGCACCCUGCCGGAGGGGGAAUCCCUCUCCGGUGGCCAUCUUCAUCAUCCCGGUGCUCUCCAUGACGAGGAGGGAGUAGUUCUCCCUCGAGGCUGGGGGUAUGUACCAGUAGCUAUGUGUUUGAUCUCUCUCUCUCUCGUGUUCUUGAGGUGAUACGAUCUUGAUGUAUCGCGAGCUUUGCUAUUAUAGUUGGAUCCUAUGAUGUUUCCCCCCUCUACUCUCUUGUAAUGGAUUGAGUUUCCCCUUUGAAGUUAUCUUAUCUGAUUGAGUCUUUAAAGAUUUGAGAACACUUGAUGUAUGUCUUGCCGUGCAUAUCUGUGGUGACAAUGGGAUACCACAUGAUUCACUUGAUGUAUGUUUUGGUGAUCAACUUGCGGGUUCUGCCCAUGAACCUAUGCAUAGGGGUUGGCACACGUUUUCGUCGUGAUUCUCCGAUAGAAACUUUGAUUCACUCUUUGAGGUUCUAUGUGUUGGUUGAAUAGAUGAAUCUGAGAUUGUGUGAUGCAUAUCGUAUAAUCAUACCCACAGAUACUUGAGGUGACAUUGGAGUAUCUAGGCGACAUUAGGGUUUUGGUUGAUUUGUGUCUUAAGGUGUUAUUCAAGUACGAACUCUAGGGUUGUUUGUGACACUUAUAGGAAUAGCCCAACAGAUUGAUUGGAAAGAAUAACUUUGAGGUGGUUUCAUACCCUACCAUAAUCUUUUCGUUUGUUCUCCGCUAUUAGUGACUUUGGAGUGACUCUUUGUUGCAUGUUGAGGGAUAUAGUUAUGUGAUCCAAUUAUGUUAUUAUUGUUGAGAGGACUUGCACUAGUGAAAGUAUGAACCCUAGGCCUUGUUUCAAAGCAUUGCAAUACCGUUUACGCUCACUUUUAUCAUUCGUUACCUUGAUGUUUUUAUAUUUUCAGAUUACAAAAACUAUUAUCUACCAUCCAUAUACCACUUGUAUCACCAUGUCUUCGCCGAACUAGUGCACCUAUACAAUUUACCAUUGUAUUGGGUGUGUUGGGGACACAAGAGACUCUUUGUUAUUUGGUUGCAGGGUUGCUUGAGAGAGACCAUCUUCAUCCUACGCCUCCUACGAAUUGAUAAACCUUAGGUCAUCCACUUGAGGGAAAUUUGCUACUGUCCUACAAACCUCUGCACUUGGAGGCCCAACAAUGUCUACAAGAAGAAGGUUGUGUAGUAGACAUCAAGCUCUUUUCUGGCGCCGUUGCCGGGGAGGUGAGUGCUUGAAGGUGUAUCUUUAGAUCUUGCAAUCAAAUCUUUUUGUUUCUUGUUUUAGCACUAGUUUAGUUUAUAAAAGAAAACUACAAAAAUAUGGAAUUGAGUUUUGUCUCAUACGCUUCAUCUUUUUAGUAUCUUUCGUGAGUAUGAUGGAAAGGAAAAUUGUGCUCAAGUGCUAGAGGAAGAAGUCUAUAAAAUGUUUGGCACUAAAUCUUUGAAUGAUGAGCAUGAUUGCAAUGUUGUUAGUACGAAUUCUUUGAAUAUCCAUGAUACUAAUGAUGAUUGCACUAGUUAUGAUUUCUCCUAUAAACAUGUCAAUUUUUGUGGAGUGAUUGGGUUUGCAAGUACACACCAAAUAGGGAAGAUAGAUAUUGCAAGAGGCAUAAGUACUUAGAAACUAAAUUGUUGCAAGAAAUGCUAGAGGUUUGUGCCAAAGAUUUAAAUUUUCCUGGCCACCCUUGUGAAUUUUGCAAUGAACAUGGUCAUUUAACUAUCCGAUGCAAAUUGUUUCAUGAUCUAAUCAUGUCCAAAAAUUGUGAUGACUUGAUUUCCCUUGCACAUCAUAAUGAACUUAGUUUGCUCUUGGGUUAUGAAGAAAUGAAACGUAUAACUAAGGAUAUUCCAAAAUUUGCCCUUGAUAGAGUUCUUCAUUUUGAUCUAGAGCAAAUUUAUAUGUAUUGUGCGGUGAAUUGCAUUGAAAAUCCUUAUAUUGCCAAUUACAUAAAUAAAAGAAAACAACUAGAGGAUGAAGAGAAUACUAACGAAAGGGAAGAGACUUCCCAAUAUUUUCCUAUUAUUUCUUAUGAUAAAUCAGGUAACGAGGAGGAGCCUUAUAUUCAACCAAUUUCAUUAAUAAGGAGCUACAAAAAGAGGAUUGAACCCACACAUGAUGUGGUGAAGAAGAAGAAAAGAAAAAGGAAGAGAGGUAAAAAGAUAUCUCUCCCAAAUAAUGCUGCUCCUAUUACUAUUGUGCCUCAUGAAAAUAUAAUUGUGGAUGAUAAUGAUACUUCUUAUGAUCUUGAAAAUCUUUUUGGCACUUGCUUGGAAGAAUAUGAUAAUUACUAUACUAUUGGUGCUAUCCAUACUAUUAAUGAUGAGAGUGAUUAUGCUUAUGAUAUGAAAAGGCCCAAGCUUGGGGAUGCUAUGUUUGAUGAAGAUGAUGUUUUUGAGAAUAUAUUUGCUACAACUAAUGUUUGUCCCAAGCUUGGGGAUGCUACGUUUAUGAAGAUGAUAUUUUUUUGUCCCCCAAGUUUUGAUGAGCAAAUUUAUUAAGAUGAAAGCAUGCCUACUAUAUAUGAUGAUUAUUGUGAUGACACGUAUGCUUUAAAGAAUAAUGAUAACAAUGAAACUUGUCAUCUUGAUUUCACUUUUCAAUCCCAUGGUAGUUAUUUUGUUGAGUUUUCUCCCACUACUAUUCAUGAGAAGAAGUUUGCUUAUGUGGAGAGUAGUCAAUUUUCUAUGCUUGUUGAUCAUGAAAAGAAUGCUUUAGGUGCUGGUUAUAUUGUUGAAUUCAUUCAUGAUGCUACUGAAAAUUAUUAUGAGGGAGGAACAUAUACUCGUAGGAAUUGCAAUAAUACCAAGUUUCCUCUCUAUGUGCUUAAAAUUUUGAAGUUAUGCUUGUUUUACCUUCCUAUGCAAGUUGAUUCUUGUUCCCACAAGUUGUUUGCUCACAAAAUCCCUAUGCAUAGGAAGUGGACUAGACUUAAAUGUGCUAGUCAUAUUCUUCAUGAUUCUCUCUUUAUGUUUCAAUUCUUAUCCUUUAUGUGAGCAUCAUUGAAAUCAUCAUGCCUAGCUAGGGGCGUUAAACGAUAGCGCUUGUUGGGAGACAACAACAAACAACAACAACAACAACAAAGCCUUUAGUCCCAAACAAGUUGGGAGACAACCCAACUUUAUUUUUGUUCCUUGCUUUUUUUGCUCCUGUUUAGUAAUAAAUAAUUCAUCUAGACUCUGUUUAGAUGUGGUUUUAUGUUUUAAUUAGUGUUUUUGCCAAGUAGAACCAGUGGGAAGACUUGGGGAAAGUCUUGUUGAUCUUGCUGUAAAAAAACAUAAACUUUAGCGCUCACGAGAAUUACUGCCAUUUUUUAUUGGAAAGUGCUAUUUAGUUAAUUAUUUUUGCAGAUUAUUAAUAGACAAAUUACUCACGUCCAGAAAUUUAUUUUAGAAUUUUUGGGGUUCCAGAAGUUUGCGUUUGAUACAGAUUACUACAGACUGUUCUGUUUUUCGUGUGUUGUUUGUUUAUUUUGAUGAAUGUAUGGCUAGUAAAAUAGUUUAUAAACCAUAAAGAAGUUGGAAUACAGUAGUUUUAACACCAAUAUAAAUAAAGAAUGAGUUCAUUACAGUACCUUGAAGUGGUGUUUUGUUUUCUUUUGCUAACGGAGCUCACCAGUUUUCUACUUUAAGUUUUGUGUUGUGAAGUUUUCAAGUUUUGGGUCAAGAUUCGAUGGACUAUGGAAUAAGGAGUGGCAAGAGCCUAAGCUUGGGGAUGUCCAAGGCACCGCAAGGUAAUAUUCAAGGACAACUAAGAGCCUAAGCUUGGGGAUGCCCCGGAAGGCAUCCCCUUUUUCGUCUUCGUUCAUCGGUAACUUUACUUGGAGCUAUAUUUUUAUUCGCCACAUGAUAUGUGUUUUGCUUGGGGCGUCAUUUUAUUUUAUUUAGCUUUGCUUAAUUUUUGAAUAAAAUACCAAGAUCUGAAAUUAUUAAAUGUUAGAAAGUCUUCAUAUAGUUGCAUAAUUAUUCGACUACUCAUUGAUCUUCACUUAUAUCUUUCGGAGUAGUUUGUCGUUUGGUCUAGUGCUUCACUUAUAUCUUUUUAGAGCACGGUGGUGGUUUUAUUUUAUAGAAAUAGAUGAACUCUCAUGCUUCACUUAUAUUAUUUUGAGAGUCUUUAGAACAACAUGGUAAUUUGCUUUGGUUAUGAAUUUAGUCCUAAUAUGAUGGGCAUCCAAGAGGGGUAUAAUAAAAACUUUCAUAUAGAGUGCAUUGAAUACUAUGAGAAGUUUGAUACUUGAUGAUUGUUUUGAGAUAUGAGGAUGGUAAUAUUAGAGUCAUGCUAGUUGAGUAGUUGUGAAUUUGAGAAAUACUUGUGUUGAAGUUUGUGAUUCCCGUAGCAUGCACGUAUGGUGAACCGUUAUGUGAUGAAGUCGGAGCAUGAUUUAUUUAUUGAUUGUCUUCCUUAUGAGUGGCAGUCGGGGAUGGGCGAUGGUCUUUUCCUACCAAUAUAUCCCCCUAGGAGCAUGCGCGUAGUACUUUGUUUCGAUAACUAAUAGAUUUUUGCAAUAAGUAUGUGAGUUCUUUAUGACUAAUGUUGAGUCCAUGGAUUAUACACACUCUCACCCUUCCACCAUUGCUAGCCUCUCUAGUACCGUGCAACUUUCGCCGGUACCAUAAACACACCAUUUACCUUCCUCAAAAUAGCCACCAUAAGUACCUAUUAUGGCAUUUCCAUAGCCAUUCCGAGAUAUAUUGCCAUGCAACUUUCCACCAUUCCGUUAUUAUGACACGCUUCAUCAUUGUCAUAUUGCUUUGCAUGAUCAUGUAGUUGACAUCGUAUUUGUGGCAAAGCCACCGUUAAUAAUUCUUUCAUACAUGUCACUCAUGCAUCAUUGCACAUCCCGGUACACCGCCGGAGGCAUUCAUAUAGAGUCAUAUCUUGUUCUAAAUAUCGAGUUGUAAUUCUUGAGUUGUAAGUAAAUAAAAGUGUGAUGAUCAUCAUUAUUAGAGCACUGUCCCGGUGAGGAAAGGAUGAUGGAGACUAUGAUUCCCCCACAAGUCGGGAUGAGACUCCAGAUGAAAAUAAAUAAAUAAAAGAGGCCAAAGAAGCCCAAAAAAGAAGGCUCAAAUAAAAAAAAUAAAAAAAUGAGAGAAAAAGAGAGAAGGGGCAAUGCUACUAUCCUUUUACCACACUUGUGCUUCAAAGUAGCACCACGAUCUUCAUGAUAGAGAGUCUCCUAUGUUGUUACUUUCAUAUACGGGUGGGAAUCUUUCAUUGUAGAACUUGGCUUGUAUAUUCCAAUGAUGGGCUUCCUCAAAAUGCCCUAGGUCUUCGUGAGCAAGCGAGUUGGAUGCACACCCACUAGUUUCUUUUGUUGAGCUUUCAUACAUUUAUAGCUCUAGUGCAUCCGUUGCAUGACAAUCCCUACUCACUCACAUUGAUAUCUAUUGAUGGGCAUCUCCAUAGCCCGUUGAUACGCCUAGUUGAUGUGAGACUAUCUUCUCCUUUUUUGUCUUUCCCACAACCACCAUUCUAUUCCACCUAUAGUGCUAUGUCCAUGGCUCACGCUCAUGUAUUGCGUGAAGAUUGAAAAAGUUUGAGAACAUCAAAAGUAUGAAACAAUUUCUUGGCUUGUCAUCGGGGUUGUGCAUGAUUUAAAUAUUUUGUGUGGUGAAGAUGAGGCAUAGCCAGACUAUAUGAUUUUGUAGGGAUAGCUUUCUUUGGCCAUGUUAUUUUGAGAAGACAUGAUUGCUUAGUUAGUAUGCUUGAAGUAUUAUUGUUUUUAUGUCAAUAUUAAACUUUUGUCUUGAAUCUUAUGGAUCUGAAUAUUCAUGCUACAAUAAAGAGAAUUACUUAGAGAAAUAUGUUAGGUAGCAUUCCACAUCAAAAAUUCUGUUUUUAUCAUUUACCUACUCGAGGACGGGCAGUAAUUAAGCUUGGGGAUGCUAAUACGUCUCCAACGUAUCUAUAAUUUUUGAUUGUUCCAUGCUAUUAUAUUAUCAACUUUGGAUGUUUAUGGGCUUUAUUAUACACUUUUAUAUUAUUUUUGGGACUAACCUAUUAACCUAGAGCCCAGUGCCAGUUUCUGUUUUUUUCCUUGUUUUAGAGUAUCGCAGAAAAGGAAAAUCAAACGAAUUCCAAUUGACCUGAAACUUCACGGAACUUAUUUUUGGAAGGAACGCAAUCCAGGAGACUUGGAGUCCACGUAAGGGAAUCAACGAGGAGGCCACGAGGCAGGGGGCGUGCCCACCCCCCUGGGCGCGCCCUCCACCCUCAUGGGCCCCUCGUGGCUCCUCUGACGUACUUCUUCCGCCUAUAUAUCUCCAUAUACCCUAAAAAUAUCCGGGAGCACAAUAGAUCAGGAGUUCCGCCGCCAGAAGCCUCCAUAGCCACCGAAAGCCAAUCUAGACCCGUUUCGGCACCCUGCCGGAGGGGGAAUCCCUCUCCGGUGGCCAUCUUCAUCAUCCUGGUGCUCUGCAUGACGAGGAGGGAGUAGUUCUCCCUCGGGGCUGAGGGUAUGUACCAGUAGCUAUGUGUUUGAUCUCUCUCUCUCUCUCUCUCUCUCUCUCUCUCUCUCGUGUUCUUGAGGUGAUACGAUCUUGAUGUAUCGCGAGCUUUGCUAUUAUAGUUGGAUCCUAUGAUGUUUUCCCCCUCUACUCUCUUGUAAUGGAUUGAGUUUCCCCUUUGAAGUUAUCUUAUCGGAUUGAGUCUUUAAAGAUUUGAGAACACUUGAUGUAUGUCUUGCCGUGCGUAUCUGUGGUGACAAUGGGAUACCACGUGAUUCACUUGAUGUAUGUUUUGGUGAUCAACUUGCUGGUUCCGCCCAUGAACCUAUGCAUAGGGGCUGGCACACGUUUUCGUCAUGAUUCUCUGGUAGAAACUUUGGGGCACUCUUUGAGGUUCUAUGUGUUGGUUGAAUAGAUGAAUCUGAGAUUGUGUGAUGCAUAUCGUAUAAUCAUACCCACGGAUACUUGAGGUGACAUUGGAGUAUCUAGGUGACAUUUGGGUUUUGGUUGAUUUGUGUCUUAAGGUGUUAUUCUAGUAUGAACUCUAGGGCUGUUUGUGACACUUAUAGGAAUAGCCCAAUGGAUUGAUUGGAAACAAUAACUUUGAGGUGGUUUCGUACACUACCAUAAUCUCUUCGUUUGUUCUCCGCUAUUAGUGACUUUGGAGUGACUCUUUGUUGCAUGUUGAGGGAUAGUUAUGUGAUCCAAUUAUGUUAUUAUUGUUGAGAGGACUUGCACUAGUGAAAGUAUGAACCCUAGGCCUUGUUUCAAAGCAUUGCAAUACCGUUUACGCUCACUUUUAUCAUUCGUUACCUUGAUGUUUUUAUAUUUUCAGAUUACAAAAACUAUUAUCUACCAUCCAUAUACCACUUGUAUCACCAUGUCUUCGCCGAACUAGUGCACCUAUACAAUUUACCAUUGUAUUGGGUGUGUUGGGGACACAAGAGGCUCUUUGUUAUUUGGUUGCAGGGUUGCUUGAGAUAGACCAUCUUCAUCCUACGCCUCCUACGGAUUGAUAAACCUUAGGUCAUCCCCUUGAGGGAAAUUUGCUACUGUCCUACAAACCUCUGCACUUGGAGGCCCAACAACAUCUACAAGAAGAAGGUUGUGUAGUAGACAUCACUACGCUAUAGAGAUCUCAUCAGGAGUGAUGUAAGAGGUUCCACCCUCGGCACUCAAUGGUAACUCUUCAGUGUCAUACAACUAGGGGGGUGAUGUGCGGUGUCGGGGCCUGGACAUCGAUCACGUGAUCGAGUCAUCGAACAUAAAGCGGGGCAACUAGGACAAGGUGGGGGUCACUGAUGGAUCACUAACCAACCUAUACUAAGCAGUUUAGGAUAAGCAGGUAAGGUAUGAAAGCAGGUAACAAAAACAGGCUAUGCAUCAGAGUAGGAUCAUACAUAAAGCAGUAGCAGUUCUAAUGCAAGCAUGAGAGGGAAAGAAAUGGGCGAUAUCGAAAUGCUCAAGGGGGUUUGCUUGCCUGGUCGCUCAGACGAGAAGGAGGGGUCAUCGGUCAUAGGGGCAUCUGCAUCGUCACGGGGUCUACCGAAGAGAAGAGGGGGGAGAAACAGUAAAUAUAUAGCAAGCAAGUGCAUAACAGGACAACAGGCAGAGCUAGACGUGUUCUAGCGCGGUGCUACACGAUACCGGUGAAAGGGGAAGUCAACCGGGAAUGUUUUCCCGGUUUCGGACCUAUGUUAGACAGAUGACCGGAGGGGGAAUGAUCCAUGUUCAGAUAGUUAGAGGCAUCUGACAAGUAAACGGACCGCGUAUUCGGAUUCGUCUCGUCGUUCCGAGCAACAUUCAUAUAUAAAGUUUUUUCGAUCCGAGCUACGGUUAAUUUUCUAUGAUUUUUCAAAGUUUUUGCAAUAUUCUGAAAUUAUUAAUAAUUCGAAAUUAAAAGCUAAAAAGCUAGAUGCACCCAGCAUAGUGUACACCAAAGUGUACCCAGUGGCUGACAGGUGGACCAGGGGGUCCCUAUUGACCAGUCAGGGCUUGGGGCCACCCUGUCAUUGAGACUUCUACUAACUAGUAGUUUUAAUUAGUUAAACUAGGUAAUUAGCCUAAUUAAACAGUAUUAAUAUAAUUAAUUAUUAGUUAUUAUUAUUUUAAUAUAACUUUUUUCAAAACUUUUUUUAACAGGGCAGUGGGGCCCGUAUGCCAGUGGCCCGAGGGCUUAGUGGGCACGGCGCUAUUGGGCAUGGGCGCCAUGCCCGGGCGAGGCCGUUGCCUCGACGAGGCCAGCAGGGAGCAUCGGCACGGCGCGGUCGACGGCCACAUUCGGCCGGAGCAGGCGUGGCGGCGGGGGUGUGGCGAGGCACGGCGCGGGGCAGAAGCGGGGCAGUGGCACAGUGCAGGUCGAGCGCGCGGUAGUAGUACGCGUGCGGGCUGGCGGGAGGCAUGGCGGCAACGACGAUCGGAGCUAGCGGAGGCGGGGCGGGCUGCGCGGCUAGGACGGGCGCGCGCGGUGCGGAUGCGGCCGGGCGCCGGGGAGUAGCAGUACGGGCGUGGCGUGAUGCAGCAGUAGCUGUAGGCGGCGCCGAGAUGAGUGACGAGCGUCGAGCGGGGCCAGCGGGCCUGAUGCGGCUACAGGCGAAGGCGGCCGGCGCAAGGAGAAGGUGUGGGCGGCGGAGCGCUGGCCAGCGCGGAGCUGCAGCAGGCGGCGGCAGCAGGAGAAGGCGGGCACGGACAACAGGUAGGCGGCAGCAGCAGCGGCAGGACGGGACGACCGGCAGCGCAGCAGGGACAGGAGCGCGGCGGGGCGCACGGGGCUGCGGCAGGGGUGCGCAGCAGCGCGUGGGCGCCGGCGAGAUGCGAGCGGUCAGGCAGGGAACGGCCGGAGUGGCAGCAACAGCGACGUGCAACGGCGUCGGAGGCGGUCGGGCUUGGCAACGCGGGGAGGCUAGCUAGGGGGCCGGACGUGCGCGAGCUAGAGGAGGGAAAGGGAGGAUCAGGAUCUCACCGGGGAGGCACACGGGGGCCCAGUGGCGGCUUAGUAGCAGUAGGGACGGCCGGAGAUGGUGACGACGUGCGUCGGCCCGAGGAGGAAGACGGGUGAAUCGAUGGCUCGGUGGCGCUCCAACUCAAAUCCGCGCGCAUAGUGGACGAAGACGAGACGCAGAAGCUCCUGGACGUCCUUCCUUGGCUCAGGGUGGCUCCAGUGCAUGUGGACAACGACGGUCUUCGUGGAUGCAACGGCGAGGCGAGAGGUGCCCGGUGGCCAUGGCAGAGUGAGGCGAGCGGCAACGACCGCGCUCGGCGAUGGAUCUGGAGGAGGGGACGAGUGCGUGGGUGAGAGAGAGAGCGAGGGGGCACAAGUGACGAGGGUGAGUGGAGGGGAGGGCUCGAGGCGUCGAGGGGACGGCGCCCUUAUCCCCUCGAGGCGGUUCCAACGAGCUGGUCGGACGGGGACGCGCCCCUGUAGCGAUUGCGCAAGGAGAACAGGGAGGUGGGUGCAGGGACAUGGUGGGCCGGUUGUGGCCAACCCAUGGGGUUAGGGGCCAGAUGGCCCAGUUAGCCUGGGGUUUUCCUUUUAACUCUUUAUUUCUUUUUUUGUGUGCUGUUUUAUUUUGUUUUAUUUAUUUUCACCAUUAACUUAGUUUAAGUAUAAUGCAAAACUAGUUUCUAAACUAGUAUUACUAUUUAUAGCUCUGCCAUAAAAAGCUUCGUACUCUAAUAAAUUAUUUUAUUAUUUCAAAAUUAUAAAAUGCAUUUACAUAAUUGUUUAAGCCACUAUUUUAUUCACAAAAGGCCAUUUAAAUACCUUACAGAAGUGUUGGGUCACCACCAUAAUUAGUUAUGGAAUAUUUGGCACAAUUUGAACAUUUUAUUUUGCAUGUUUGAGAAAUUUGAAUUUUGGACUAUUAUUUUAAAUUUGAAUUUGGAUUGUGAUUUGGAUCAAAUGAAGAUUAGCAACAGUAACAUGAUGACAUGGCACCAUUAACAGGGGAUUACUGUAGCAUGACACUGGGGGUGUUACAACGACGAAGGCGGCGAGUCGCUGACUCGGCGGGCCCAUCUCAUUUCGCACCAAAAAUUGUCUCCUCCGAUGCCCCCGGGCGCCUCCAGCUCGUUGGGUUUAGUCUAGGUCCGCUAGCACCAAAAUCGGCCUGAGCCGGCGAAAUGUGGGGUUUUGGGGGUGCGACUGGGGCCGAUUUUUCGGCACCGGCGACAACAAAAGGCCUUGGGGGGCUUGCUGGGGCGCGACUGUAGCACCCUGGAUGUAAUUUGCCGUAAUUGUAACUUCGACUCUGCCAUUUCCGGCUUUAAGUUAUGAGAUUCGUGGUUGGGUUCUUGUCUUUGUUUUGCAUUUUGUUCAUGUCAUGCAUAUCAUACCAUGUCAUCAUGUGCAUCGCAUUUGCAUACGUGUUUGUAUCAUGCAUCCGAGCUUUUUCCCCGUUGUCCGUUUUGCAUUCCGACACUCCCACGUCCUCCGGCGCCCCCUUUUGUCUCUUUUCGUGAGCGGGUGUUAAACUUUCUCGGAAUGAACCGAGAUUUACCAAGUGGCCUUGGUACACCACCGGUAGACCGCCUAUCAAGUUUCGUGUCAUUUGGAGUCCGUUUGAUACUCCAACAGUUAACCGGAGAACCACAAAGGCCUCGUGUGUGUUGCAGCCCAACACCCCUCCAAAAUGGCUCAAUAACCCUUCUAAACCACUCCCAUGUCCUCCGCGUGGUCGAAAACUACACCUCAUUUGAACGCUCCCACCUCCUUCUAGGUAUAAGUAUGUCUCUCCCUUCGGAAUUCCGGGUCCAAACCCUACCCUAACCUUCCCCGCCGCCACCGGACGCGUCCGAGACGGCCGGACGUGUCCGCGCCGCCGCUCGCAGCCAACCCCGCACCGCCACGUGCACACCCGCGCCCACAUCGCUGCCGUCGCCCGGGGCCCAGAUCCGGCCCGCCCCAGGCCGAACCGGGCCUCGCCGGGCCCCGCGCCGUCGCCUCUGGCCUNNNNNNNNNNNNNNNNNNNNNNNNNNNNNNNNNNNNNNNNNNNNNNNNNNNNNNNNNNNNNNNNNNNNNNNNNNNNNNNNNNNNNNNNNNNNNNNNNNNNNNNNNNNNNNNNNNNNNNNNNNNNNNNNNNNNNNNNNNNNNNNNNNNNNNNNNNNNNNNNNNNNNNNNNNNNNNNNNNNNNNNNNNNNNNNNNNNNNNNNNNNNNNNNNNNNNNNNNNNNNNNNNNNNNNNNNNNNNNNNNNNNNNNNNNNNNNNNNNNNNNNNNNNNNNNNNNNNNNNNNNNNNNNNNNNNNNNNNNNNNNNNNNNNNNNNNNNNNNNNNNNNNNNNNNNNNNNNNNNNNNNNGCCCGUCCUCCGCGCGACCUCGCCGCGCCCUUGCCGGUGUCGCAGGCCUCCACCGCCGGCCGCCGCGGGCCCCCGCGUCGUUCCAGCCGCGCCGCGCCGCCCCUUGACUCCUCCACCGCCCGAGCUCCUUCCUCCGGCGAACGCCAUGACCUCGCCGGCUCCUUCCUCCGGCAAGCUCCCGCAGAUCCGGCGACAUCUCCGGCGAUCCUUGCAGAGCGUGCAAACCCUAGAUCCAAAAGGGUUGACCCCGUUUUCUCACUAAGUCAUUUUUUCUGCUAUAUUUUUAGCCCCUGUUCAUCAUGCCAUAACUUCAUGUGUACUGCUCCGUUUUGUGCAUGAAAUAUAUCAAAAUGUUUAUCAUGAUUUGCUCUUAAUUUUGUUCCAUUGUGCCAUGCUUGUUUGAGUCCAUCUUGAUGCGCAAAUCGUUGAUGCAAGAGUGCUAUAAAUUGUUAGGUGCUGUUACUUAGCAGAUUAUAAGCUUUUGUCAUUUUUGUCACAUUUGUUGUGUGCUGCAUAUGGGCAUGAGUCGUACAUGUAUUUUGAUCUAUGCCAUGCCAUCUUUACAGGGGUGUAUUCCAUGUAUUUUUGUGAUCUUUGUGGUGACUAGCACAAGCAUGCAAAGUAGCCUUCGUGAUAUUGCUGAUUUCAGGAUCUUAGGAUUUCACUCUCAUUUUCCUGCUGUUAUUUUUAUGCCAUGUAACCAUGUUGCUACAGUGAGAUACAUGCUUUAUUUGAGUUGCUUCAGUAAGGAUGAUUUGGACAUAUGGUUAUGCUCUAUCCAUCCAUGCCCCCGUUUGCAAUUAUGGAGUGCCCUAGCAUGUGUUAAUCUUGCUCUACUUUUGCUAUAAAAUGUUUUUGGCAGAUUAUUUACAUGUUAAUCAAUUUUGCCAUGGUUGUUGUAGUUGAUCCAUGCAUGCUAUAAACUUGUUAUUGUCAUGGUUAGCCUUAUGUUCAUGUCUUCUUGAUGGUAGUAUUCUUAGUUUGUCAUGCAAGGCUUUGUGAGGAGUGAAUCGAGCUCGCAAAGAUGCCUUCAUAACUCUGUUUAUGCCAUGCCCAGUUUUCUGCUAAGUCUGAUUCUGUUAACAAAACUUGCUAUGUUAAUAUGGGUGCCAUCAUAUAUUUUGUGCCUUUUUGGCUUAUGGUCAGUAAGGGACUUUUGUUUUAUGCUUUGAGUAGAUUCAUGCCAUGCCUUGUAUUGCUAUGAUAUGUUCCUGUAGCAUGUUGUUUGCUUCCUCUAAACAUUGCUUCCUGAUGAUAAUUCCUGGCAUGUUAGUAUUUUCACUAAGUCUAUGAAGCUGAUAUCUUUUGCACUUUUGCUAUGCUUGUUUGAACCUGCUCUUUUGUGAUUUAACCGUAACUCAGUGUUCAUCUUUUAUCAAGCAUCUUGAGUAGAUCACUGCCUUGUGCUUUGUUGCUAUGUUGGAGUGCAGUAGCUUAGUUUCUUGUUGUUUUCUAGAUGACAUCAUGUUGUUAAUCGCAGAAUUGUGCCAUUCUUGUUUUGCUUGCCAUUUGCAAACCGUGCAUCCGAUUCCGGUGAUCUUUAUAUCAAUUUCGACCGAAAUCAUCUCAUCUUUCCAGUGGCACACUUGGUUUGCCAAGUUGAUGCCUGGUUCAAUAUUUCCUUUCCAAAGAAUGCAUAUGCAUUGCAUAUCACAUCCCGCAUAUCUUGCAAUGUUUUGCAUCAUGUUGCUUGCGCAUUGCACCGUGGUUAAUUGUUGUUUCCUUUGCUUGUGUUCUUGAUUUGGGUAGAGCCGGGAGACGAGUGCGUGAUCUAGGAACCCGUUGAGUACGCUUACGAGGAUCAAGCUUUCGUCAACUCGGAGAACUUUGCAGGCAAGAUGACCAUACCCUCGAAAUCACUUCUAUCUUUGCUUGCUAGUUGUUCGCUCUUUUGCUAUGCCGCGAUACCUACCACUUGAUUAUCAUGCCUCCCAUAUUGCCAUGUCAAGCCUCUAACCCACCUUUCAUAGCAAACCGUUGUUUGGCUAUGUUACCGCUUUGCUCAGCCCCUCUUAUAGCGUUGCUAGUUGAAGGUGAAGAUGAAGUUUGUUCCAUGUUGGAACAUGGAUAUUGUUGAGAUAUCAUUAUUAUAUCUUAUUUACUUUAAUGCAUCUAUAUACUUGGUAAAGGAUGGAAGGCUUGGCCUUAUGCCUGGUGUUUUGUUCCACUCUUGCCGCCCUAGUUUCCGUCAUACCGGUGUUAUGUUCCUUGUUUUUGUGUUCCUUACGCGGUUGGGUGUUAUGGGAACCCCUUGACAAUUCGCUUGUUUUACAUUUGCCUAACAACCUAUCACCUUCCCUUGGGUUCUGCAGACUCAAGGGUCAUCUUUAUUUUAACCCCCCCGGGCCAGUGCUUGUCUAAGUGUUGGUCUGAACCAGAGCCACUUGCGGCGCCACCUCGGGGAAACUUGAGGGCUGAUUUUAGCUGUACGUAGUGUUCAUCCGGUGUUGCCCUGAGAACGAGAUAUGUGCAGCUCCUAUCAGGAUGUCGGCGCAUCGGGCGGUCUUGCUGGUCUUGUUUUACCAUUGUUGAAAUGUCUUGUAACCGGGAUUCCGAGACUAAUCGGGUCUUCUCGGGAGAAGGAAUAUCUUUAGUUGACCGUGAGAGCUUGUGAUGGGAUAAGUUGGGACACCCCUGCAGGGUUUUAAACUUUUGAAAGCCGCGCCCGCGGUUAUGGGCGGAUGGAAAUUUGUUAAUGUCCGGCUGUAGAGAACUUGGAAUUAGUUUAAUUAAAAUGAAUCAACCGCGUGUGUAGCCGUGAUGGUCUCUUUUCGGUGGAGUCCGGGAAGAGAACACGGUCUCGUGUUAUGCUUGAACGUAAGUAGCCUCAGGAUCACUUCUUAAUCAUUAUUAGCUUCUCGACCGUGCUUUGCUUCUCUUCUCGCUCUCUUUUGCGUAAGUUAGCCACCAUAUAUGCUAGUGCUUGCUGCAGAUCCACCUCACUAUCCUUUCCUACCUUUAAGCUUAAAUAGUCUUGAUCGCGAGGGUGUGAGAUUGCUGAGUCCCCGUGACUCACAGAUACUUCCAAAACAGAUGCAGGUGCCGAUGAUGCCAGUGCAGGGGCCGCUACCGAACUCAAGUGGGAGUUCGACGAGGAUUCGGGCCGUUAAUAUGUGUCUUUUCCGGAUGAUCAGUAGAGGAGCCCAGUUGGGUUGAUCGAGUAUCUAGCAUUUGGGGUUGUCUUUCUUUAUUUGGUUCCGUAGUCGUACCUUGAUUGUAUUAUGGAUGAUGUAUGAUAUAUUUAUGUAUUGUGUGAAGUGGCGAUUGUAAGCCAACUCUUUAUCCAUUUCUUAUUCAGUACAUGGGAUGUGUACAGACUACCCCUCUCGCGACAGGCCUACUAUGUGGUUAUGCCUCUAAGUCAUGCUCCGACACGUGGGAGAUAUAGCCGCAUCGUGGGUGGUACAGCGACUGAAGAUGCUCUGGCCAUUUUUUUGGGAGGGGGGGAGGGAUGUUUGAUUUUGCACACAUUGAAAUUUUCAUCAUAAGUACGGUCUUUUUACAAGUACUAGCAAACAUGCCCGUGCGUUGCCACGGGUUAAUUUAAUUCAUUUAUUUAAAACAUGGAUAAUUUAGUCGAAGAACAAUCUUCAGUUCAAUUAGAGCAUUUAGAAUUUUCGUUGUCCGAACCAUCGGGCAAAGAUGUAAAGAACGGUACUCAUUUCGUCCGGCGGUGCCUCCUUCAACUCCUCAGUGCCCUAGGGUCGAAGAUGAGUUGUGCAUGGAAGAGUUUUUGAGUGGGAGAAACAAAUGGUGGAAGGAGGGUUGCUGUUGGAGAGGAAGGGGUGCAUGUAGGACUUUAGCUGAAUGCCUAUUUUCUUGACUUUGAAGUAAUUUUUUUGAGAGUUUAAUUACUAAUUCAAAGGAUUUUCAUAUAUUAUUUAAAGUGAGAGCAUUGCCGACUUUACUAUGACAAUGUAGAUUGGGCCGCCGAUGCCUAUUGACAAAUCAUAUGAUACCAGGACAUUAACCAUCAUACUCACAAUAAAAAUGUUGUACACGUAGCACCUAUAUUGAGUUACUGACAUGAGAUAGUAAAAAUGUUGUAUACUUCGCUGGUUGUCCAUGCAUAUAUGCUCAUGUUGUGUAUGUGCUAACCAUGAAGUUUGUGUCGUAUAGAUUUACUGACUUCCUCUUCUGUUGCGAUAUAUGCAGGGUUAACCAUCGCAAUUGAACCUUUGCAUGGUGUGUUGCGCUUCAACUCACGGUUAGCUGCAAUUUGCUUUAUCCUAGCUUUCUUUUGUUCUGGCUGCAUAUUUGCAUAUUUCUGUCUUUCUCGUGCACAUUUUUUUACCUUUUGUGUUGGCUCCAUAUUUGCAUAUUUCUUCCUUCCCUGUGUGCAUUUUUUUCGCAAACGGGUUGAAUCUUUUUUUUUGCUUUGCUGAUAGGCUUCACGACGCUUUUUUAGUUUUCCCCGUUUGUCUUCAUUGGUCAUCCUUGCAUACCGCUCUCUGUCUUUUCUCCUUCUUUGUUCCCUGGCAUCCAUGACCGGAGAUCGCGACCCCAAUUGCUUGUUUGCAUGAGACUUUUUUAUAUUAUAUAAAUAUGUUAUUCAUUAAAAAAAACAGAUUAGAUUUUGCAUCAUAAAUAGAACAUAGGAGCUACUCCUACUUAUAAGUUACAUUAAGUACGCUGGACAUUAGCAUGAGAAUAUAUGUGUUUAUAUAGUGUCAUGUUAUUCCUAGAUCCAAUUUAGAAAAAUAGGAAAAUGAUAUUGAAGUAAGAGCACUGAUAUACAGCUGAUAUUUUUUGUCUAACUUCAGUACGACAAUGUAGACCAAACGUCUAUAAAUAGUGAGAAAACAUAUCACACUGGCACAUUAAUCAUCCUAAUGAGUUACUAACAUCGGACAAUAAAAAUACAAUGAUGUAGAUCAGACGUCUAUAAAUGGUGACAAACCUAAUGCGUUACUAACAUCAGACAAUAAAAAUAUCGUACAUGCAAUACUUUUGUUGAAGUUAUUUCACCUGGACACAGUUGUUCCUCCAUACCUCCAGCACGUCCAUCUUCAGAGACGUUAAGCAUGACAUCUUCUUUCUUGUCCGGAACAACAACUUUACUGAGAUCUGACUCUAUGGCCAUGACUUCUAAAUGUUUUUCGGUGUCGAUGGUUUAUUAUGCAAACACGUAUAUAGGCGAGAUCAACAGUGCCAGAAAAAAAGUUGUUGUGUAGUUUACGUCCGUGUGCAAGUAUUUCACAGGACGUCUAGAUAAUGCUUCCCUUGUGUGCACGUCAAGCUGUGUGUGUGUGUGUGUAUCUCAUCAAAAAAGAAAAAGAAAAGCCUCGCCUAUUUUACAAGUACCGGAGUUAGUACAACGGAGAGAGUAUAUAACUCAUAAAAAAGAAGAAAAAAAUCAUCGCCUAUUUUUUUAGGUUAUAAAAUCAUCGCCUAUUUUACAAGUAUAGGAUAUAGGAAUCCUGCAUGCCUACUCCGAGUCUGAGUCCAACUACGCCUCGAUCGAGUUGUUGAUCUCGAUACGGACAGAAACCAUGCCGUCCUAUUACAUAUAUUGGCUGCUAGUAUUCUUUUGACGGUUAUAUACAUUGCUAGUUCAUAUAUAGAUCGAUUUUCCAGCCAGGAUCUUUGCUUACGUCGAUCGGUCGACUCCAGAUUGCUAAUUAACGAUAAGUCUCUUCAAAUCUGCCCGAGGUUCGUGUCUCCGGUGCGACGGCCGCCGGCGAAGGAAGGAAGCCAGCGCCCACGAUGGACCCAAAGGCAGCGGAAACGGCAUGUGCCUCCCCUACAACCUGCUCGUCGACGUCCUCCGCCGCCUGUCGCCCCGGACCCUCGCCCAGUGCCAGGAGACCUGCCGCGCGUGGCGCGCCAUCGGACGACCACCACCUCCUACACCCCUUCUACACCUCCAACUACUUCCCAGGGUCCUUCAAGGAUCGUCAUGUCCGACGCUGGGACGAUGGGCCGUCCUUCAUCCUCCCGCCGGACAUGGUGAUGGAUCCACUGACCCGGAGAGUACAUCGUAAAUCAUACGGGACGUGAUUGAUUUGCACUAAUCAUCGUCGGCCUUGUACACCGUAUUGGAACCCUUGAAAUUGUUCUAUUGUAAUCGAUUUGACCCUCGUGGCAUUUAUUUUCAUAUAGACUACAAUGUUAGGGAGAGGUUUUGAGUAAAAGACAUGUCAUUGUAAGUUGGGAGUUCAAAUCAAUACUAUAUUAUCGCAAAAAAAAAUCAAUACUAUAUCAAUCACUAUGCGCGAAAAUUCAUUGGAGUGCUCAUCCUCGCAUGCUCCUGGUAUCUGUGUUCGCUCGUUUCUUUCGGGAUAAGAGCAGGAGGUGUAUUGAUCAGGUAUGCAUCCCGUAUAUUAGGUACAAUUAAACCGGGUUGGAUCCAUCAGGCAACCGCGUAGCGCCGUGCCAUUUGGAACCGAACAGAGACGCCAUAACCAGCCUGUACCGUAUCACGCAGGGAAAGACGGCACGUUACGUCACGUGCGCCUCCCGGACGGCGGCACCCCCUAGUGGAUGGGGUUGAGCGCUGGUUGGAGAUUAUCAUACGGUACAAGUAGUCAUGAUUGGAAAAUACAUCAAUAAUCUUGCCGCACCACGUAACAGAGCCACGGAUGGUCGUUACAUUACAAGCUCGUUUGCAUAAUUAUUACUCAAACAAUUCAUAAUUCAGUUCUAGCCAUGGCUACCCGAGCCCCUACAAUACAUGAAAAAACGGUCAGAUGACAACGAAACCCUCAUGGCUGCAAUUUGUCUAGGUUUCUUGUAUAUAACACAUGAUUUUUUUUUUGUUCAUCUAAGAAAAAUAUAGCUAUAGCUUGGAAACUUGAGUAUCCGGACGAAGGUUUGCUAGCCAAGGUUCUGGACGUAUCCGGACGAAGUUUCCAACGGUAGUAUAUUUUGACAUAUAAUUUAUAUUAUAUUACUCCCUUCGUUUCGAAUUACUUCUCGUAAGUAUGGAUGUAUCUAGAUGUAUUUUAAUUCUAGAUACAUCCAUUUCUGCGACGAGUAAUUUGGAACGGAGGGAGUAGAAUUUAUGAUUAAAAUUUGGUCUAAUAUAAUAAAUACUCUAUCCGUCUUAAAAUUCUUGCUUAAAUUAGUCUAGAUACGGAUGUAUCUAAUACUAAAAUGUGACUUGAUACAUCUGUAUUUAGACAAAUCUAAGACAAGAAUUUUGGGACGGAGGGUAUAAAGAGACUAAUAUUCUCACGCACCGGGCAUGCCUCUCGCUCUCGCUAUCGCGGCGCCGCACCUUCCCCCCGCCAUAGCCACCACAUCAGAUCGAACCCCGCGGCAUGCCUCCACGCCGGAGAGGGGUGCUAGCGCUGCCUGCGCCCACGCCUCCCCCACCCCAGCAGCCUGCGCCGACCACGCGCGAGAUCCUGCGACUGAUUUCCCCAAUCUCACAGGCGGUGCUCAUGGCGACCAGGGCCAGGGGGUGGGCGGAGCAUGCGACCAGGAUCCGGGACGCCACCUUCGAGUGGAUCCGGUGCGUGUAGGAGUGGAAGGCGGCCAAACAGGCGGCGGCGGCGACGACCGAUCCGGUGGCGUUAUCUGCGGCCGCGAAGGUCGCCGAGAUUCGUCGAAGGAGGGCAGAUGUGGAGCAAAGGAAGCUGGCGCGACAAAUCUACGAGGAGGCCACGCUGGAGGAGAGGGCGAGGAUGCCCCCGUUUCCGUCCUCCCCGCCGGCCGAAUUCGUGAUCUGGGCGAGCUGCCGUGGUUCGGAGGCCGCGGCGAGGUUCCACUAGUCGCUCAUCCAAGGUCACGGGAGGGGAUUUGUAUCCCAAAGGAAAAGGUAUGUCUCACGAUCUCGCAGUCGACGAUAGGGUUAGAUUCGAUGGGGAUUAAACAGAGCUUGUGCUCGGCGAAUCGAGAUUUGUCGUCGUCGGCGAGGUCCUGGUCGCCGGAGUUGGGGGAUUGUUCCCCUGUGGUGCGACAGAGAUCACCCAGUCGGAUUGACGUGGGCCCCGUUGCCACGUCGCUCCCACCAAUCAGGUGUGGGAGGGUGAAAACGACUUUGGCGAAUACGUCUUCUGUUCACGACGACGCAGAUGAGACCAUCUCUAGGGUUUUUGGACAGCUUUGGUCCUUUCCUUCCUCCCGCCGUCACCAGCCUUGCCCUCUCCCACCCAACAAACCCACCACCACUCUAGGAUGGCUCUGGAAAGAUCUUGCUCGCUCCGGAUGUUUCUCUCCAUCUGAUCUAUUCCCCAUCAAGCAUCUCCGCCCAUUUGAUCCUCCCCCGACGCAGCUUAAGAUCAUCAUAGAGGGGAUUGGGAGUGGAUCUAAAUCCUUUGCUCAGGCGGUCAUGGCGGACAAGAAUGCACCGAAUGCGGGGCUGAAACAACGUGCUCCGGCUCCACCGAAGAACCCGGGUCGUCGUCAAGCCGCCCGGGGGAGGGGGGGGGAGGUGGGCAUGCUGCUACCGCGCCUGGCAAAGGGGCUGCCCCCCUUACACAGGCGGUGGUGACAGCAUCUCCACCACCAAUCCCUUCCACCUCACCAGUGCAGAUCUUCGACGAGCGAUAUAAGGACAUGGUGUGCUUUACCUGUGGAGGUCCUAGUCACUACGUCGGCAAUUGCAUCCAGAAGAAGAUCUGCUUCAUCUGUGGCCUGGAGGGGCACAAUGUCAAUAAUUGCGCAGCCUGGUCGCAACCUCACCCAGUUGCCACAUUCUUCAGCAGCUCUGCUUUGGGUCUGGGAUUCUAUCACAUCGACGCUCCUGUGGGUCGUGAAGCGAAUUGGCUCAAUUUCAGGAACUGUGGUGAAGUUUGGGUUAUGAAAGGGGAAAUCAACAAGUAUGAUUCGGUCAAGAACUUGUUUGGUAUAUUUUGCAAAAACAAGCAAUGGACAUGGCACAUCAGGCCAUUGACAGAGAAAAAAAGUUUCCUGGUCAGAUUCCCACCCUGGAAAGAGGUGGAUGAGUUGAUUGAGUUUCCUGCCUUCGAUUUGCCUAUAGAUGGAGUUUCUGUGUCUGUUGAGAAGUGGACCGGUGCAAUUCAAUGAACUUACUGAAGCUUGGGUGAUUAUUGAGGGGCUCUCAUCUAAAUGGUGCACGUGGAAGGUUCUGUCACAGAUUGCAUCUUGCUUUGGGAUCUUAGUUGAUGUGGAUAGGAAUGGCUUAAUGAAGAGUUUCUAUGAGAAGGUGAGAGUCAAGAUUGCAUGCAGGGACCCAGCUAAAAUCCCAUUUGAACGGAUCAUGGAGAUGAGGAAAAAACUGUAUAUCUUGUCAUUUACAGUGGAAGGUUUUGAUCAGAUAGGGGCUGAUGAUCCUAAUGAUGACAAUGGGCCUACUGACAUCUCUGUGGACGAUGACAACAAAGCAAAUGAUGAUGAAGAGCUGGACAAGGACAUCCUGGAUGAUGGAGAGGAGCCCAUUGAUGACCUGGAUCUGGCUAACAGGGCUUCAAAAACCCCAGUUGGGAAAAAGGCAAAUAAUGAUGGUGCUACCUUCCAUCCUGCUGCUCUGCUAGAGGCAUGUGUCUCUGCUGUGAAAGAUGACAAGAAACCUAAGGAAGAAAAUAAAUCUCAGAGCAUGUGCUCUCCCAUACCUUUCUCUGAGGCGAUCAAGACCCUUGGCACUCCCAACAACUACAACAAUGUUGUCAGUUCAUCUGCAGCGCCUUCAGGUGGAGCUGUUACUGCCACUUCCCCCAUGUAUGCCCCAAAAGCCUACUGCUCUGGUCUGCUAGAAGAAUUGGAAGAUUCUGCAUCUGAUACUGCCAGUGAUGCUGCUGAAUCAGAAGAAGAGAUGGGCACAUUUGCAGGCCCGGUGGCCAGUGGUCUGAAGAUGCUGUAGCUCAUGGAGAAGUUGGCUCUGGAAAAUCCAACAACCAAGAAUAAGUGGGGUCCAACUGUGGCUCCAAGACAAAGUGCUAGGGUUCACAGCAGGCAAAACAUCAUGGAGAAAGUUGUUGGGGAACGUUGUAGAAAACAAAAAUUUUCCUACUCGUUUCACCAAGAUCAUCUAGGAGUUCAUCUAGCAACGAGUCAUUGGAUGCAUCUACAUACCUUUGUAGAUCGCGAGCGGAAGCGUUCAAAAGAACGGUGACGAUGUAGUCGUACUCGACGUGAUCCAAAUCACCGAUGACCAGCGCCGAACGGACGGCACCUCCGCGUUCAACACACGUACGGGACGGGAGACGUCUCCUCCUUCUUGAUCCAGCAAGGGGGAAGGAGAGGUUGAUGAAGAUCCAGCAGCACGACGGCGUGGUGGUGGAUGCAGGGCGUCACAGCAGCAGGGCUUCGCCGAGACUACGAGGGAGAGACGUAACGGGGGGAGGUGGAGGCGCCAGGGGCUGGUGUAAAAUCCCUCCUCUCCCCCCCACUAUAUAUAGGGGUGCCAAGGGGGGGGGCGCCGGCCCUAGUAGAUGGCAUCUACUAGGGGGGGCGGCGGCCAAGGGGAGGUUUCCCUCCCCCCCAAGGCACCUAGGGGUGCCUUCCACCACAUGGACUCUUCCAUGGUGGAAACCCUAGGCGCAUGGGCCUAUAGGGGCUGGUGCCCUUGGCCCAUCUAGGCCAAGGCGCACCCCCUACAGCCCAUGUGGCCCCCCGGGACAGGUGGCCCCACCCGGUGGACCCCCGGGACCCUUCCGGUGGUCCCGGUACAAUACCGAUAACCCCGAAACUUGUCCCGAUGCCCGAAAUAGCACUUCCUAUAUAUAAUUCUUUACCUCUGGACCAUUCCGGAACUCCUCGUGACGUCCGGGAUCUCAUCCGGGACUCCGAACAACAUUCGGGUUUUUGCAUAUACAUAUCUUCAUAACCCUAGCGUCACCGAACCUUAAGUGUGUAGACCCUACGGGUUCAGGAGACAAGCAGACAUGACCGAGACGACUCUCCGGUCAAUAACCAACAGCGGGAUCUGGAUACCCAUGUUGGCUCCCACAUGCUCCACGAUGAUCUCAUCAGAUGAACCACGAUGUCGAGGAUUUAAUCAAUCCCGUACGCUAUUCCCUUUGUCUAUCGAUAUGUUACUUGCCCGAGAUUCGAUCGUCGGUAUCCCAAUACCUCGUUCAAUCUCGUUACCGGCAAGUCACUUUACUCGUACGGCAAUGCAUGAUCCCGUGACCAGACACUUGGUCACUCUGAGCUCAUUAUGAUGAUGCAUUACCGAGUGGGCCCAGUGAUACCUCUCCGUCAUACGGAGUGACAAAUCCCAGUCUUGAUCCAUGUCACCCAACAGACACUUUCGGAGAUACCCGUAGUCUACCUUUAUAGUCACCCAGUUACGUUGUGACGUUUGGCAUACCCAAAGCACUCCUACGGUAUCCGGGAGUUACACGAUCUCAUGGUCUAAGGAAAAGAUACUUGACAUUGGAAAACUCUAGCAAACGAACUAUACGAUCUUGUGCUAUGUUUAGGAUUGGGUCUUGUCCAUCACAUCAUUCUCCCAAUGAUGUGAUCUCGUUAUCAAUGACAUCCAGUGUCCAUAGUCAGGAAACCAUGACUAUCUGUUGAUCAACGAGCUAGUCAACUAGAGGCUCACUAGGGACACGUUGAUGUCUGUUAUUCACACAUGUAUUACGAUUUCCGAAUAACACAAUUAUAGCAUGAAUAAAGACAAUUAUCAUGAACAAGGAAAUAUAAUAAUAAUGCUUUUAUUAUUGCCUCUAGGGCAUAUUUCCAACAGUCUCCCACUUGCACUAGAGUCAAUAAUCUAGUUACAUUGUGAUGAAUCGAACACCCAUGGAAUUCUGGUGUUGAUCAUGUUUUGCUCUAGGGAGAGGUUUAGUCAACGGAUCUGCUAUAUUCAGGUCCGUAUGUACUUUACAAAUCUCUAUGUCUCCAUCUUGAACAUUUUCACGAAUGGAGUUGAAGCGACGCUUGAUGUGCCUUGUCUUCUUGUGAAACCUGGGCUCCUUGGCAAGUGCAAUAGCUCCAGUGUUGUCACAGAAGAGCUUGAUUGGCCCCGACGCAUUGGGUAUGACUCCUAGGUCGGUGAUGAACUCCUUCACCCAUAUUGCUUCAUGUGCUGCCUCCGAGGCUGCCAUGUACUCCGCUUCACAUGUAGAUCCCGCCACGACGCUUUGCUUGCAACUACACCAGCUUACUGCCCCACCAUUCAAAAUAUACACGUAUCCGGUUUGUGACUUAGAGUCAUCCAGAUCUGUGUCGAAGCUAGCGUCGACGUAACCCUUUACGACGAGCUCUUCGUCACCUCCAUAAACGAGAAACAUUUCCUUAGUCCUUUUCAGGUACUUCAGGAUAUUCUUGACCGCUGUCCAGUGUUCCUUGCCGGGAUUACUUUGGUACCUUCCUACCAAACUUACGGCAAGGUUUACAUCAGGUCUGGUACACAGCAUGGCAUACAUAAUAGAACCUAUGGCUGAGGCAUAGGGGAUGACGCUCAUCUCUUCUAUAUCUUCUGCCGUGGUCGGACAUUCAGCUGAGCUCAAUUUCAUACCUUGCAACACAGGCAAGAACCCCUUCUUGGAUUGAUCCAUAUUGAACUUCUUCAAUAUCUUAUCAAGGUAUGUGCUUUGUGAAAGACCUAUGAGGCGUCUCGAUCUAUCUCUAUAGAUUUUGAUGCCUAAUAUAUAAGCAGCUUCUCCAAGGUCCUUCAUUGAAAAACUUUUAUUCAAGUAGGCCUUGAUGCUGUCCAAGAGUUCUAUAUCAUUUCCCAUCAAAAGUAUGUCAUCUACAUAUAAUAUGAGAAAUGCUACAGAGCUCCCACUCACUUUCUUGUAAACGCAGGCUUCUCCAUAAGUCUGUGUAAACCCAAACGCUUUGAUCAUCUCAUCAAAGCGAAUGUUCCAACUCCGAGAUGCUUGCACCAGCCCAUAAAUCGAGCGUUGGAGCUUGCACACUUUGUCAGCAUUCUUAGGAUCGACAAAACCUUCCGGCUGUAUCAUAUACAAUUCUUCCUUAAGGAAACCAUUAAGGAAUGCCGUUUUGACGUCCAUUUGCCAUAUUUCGUAAUCAUAGAAUGCGGCAAUUGCUAACAUGAUUCGGACGGACUUCAGCUUCGCUACCGGAGAGAAAGUCUCAUCGUAGUCAACCCCUUAAACUUGUCGAUAACCCUUAACGACAAGCCGAGCUUUAUAGAUGGUCACAUUACCAUCCGCGUCUGUCUUCUUCUUAAAGAUCCAUUUAUUUUCUAUGGCUCGCCGCUCAACGGGCAAGUCACUCAAAGUCCAUACUUUGUUUUCAUACAUGGAUCCUAUCUCGGAUUUCAUGGCUUCCAGCCAUUUGUCGGAAUCCGGGCCCGCCAUCGCUUCUUCAUAGUUCGAAGGUUCACCGUUGUCUAACAGCAUGAUUUCCAAGACAGGGUUGCCGUACCACUCUGGUGCGGAACGUGUCCUUGUGGACCUUCGAAUUUCAGUAGGGGCUUGAUCAGAAGUAUCUUGAUCAUUGUCAUUAACUUCCUCUCUAGUCGGUGCAGGCACCUCAGGAACAUUUUCUUGAGUUGCGCCAUUUUCCGGUUCAAGAGGUAAUACUUCAUCAAGCUCUACUUUCCUCCCACUUACUUCUUUUGAGAGAAACUCUUUCUCCAGAAAGGACCCAUUCUUGGCAACAAAGAUCUUGCCUUCGGAUCUGAGGUAGAAGGUGUACCCAAUAGUUUCUUUUGGGUAUCCUAUGAAGACGCAUUUUUCCGACUUGGGUUCGAGCUUUUCAGGUUGAAGUUUCUUGACAUAAGCAUCGCAUCCCCAAACUUUUAGAAACGACAGCUUAGGUUUCUUCCCAAACCAUAAUUCAUACGGUGUCGUCUCAACGGAUUUCAACGGAGCCCUAUUUAAAGUGAAUGCGGCAGUCUCUAAAGCAUAGCCCCAAAAGGAAAGCGGUAAAUCGGUAAGAGACAUCAUAGAUCGCACCAUAUCUAACAGAGUGCGAUUACGACGUUCGGACACACCAUUACGCUGAGGUGUUCCAGGCGGCGUGAGUUGUGAAACUAUUCCACAUUUUCUUAAGUGUGUGCCAAACUCGUGACUCAAGUAUUCUCCUCCACGAUCUGAUCGUAGAAACUUGAUUUUCCUGUCACGUUGAUUUUCAACCUCACUCUGAAAUUCCUUGAACUUUUCAAAGGUUUCAGACUUGUGUUUCAUUAAGUAGAUAUACCCAUACCUACUUAAAUCAUCAGUGAGGGUGAGAACAUAACGAUAGCCACCGCGAGCCUCAACACUCAUUGGACCGCACACAUCAGUAUGUAUGAUUUCCAAUAAGUCGGUUGCUCGCUCCAUUGUUCCUAAGAACGGAGUCUUGGUCAUUUUACCCAUAAGGCAUGGUUCGCAUGUGUCAAAUGAUUCAUAAUCAAGAGACUCUAAAAGUCCAUCAGCAUGGAGCUUCUUCAUGUGUUUGACACCUAUGUGACCAAGGCGGCAGUGCCACAGGUAUGUGGGACUAUCAUUAUCAACCUUACUUCUUUUGGUACUCACAUUAUGAACAUGUGUAGCAUCACGUUCGAGAUUCAUAAAGAACAAACCAUUCAUCAUAGGAGCAUGACCAUAAAACAUAUCUCUCAUAAAAAUGGAACAACCAUUAUUCUCAGAUUUAAAAGAGUAGCCAUCUCGAAUUAAACGAGAUCCUGAUACAAUGUUCAUGCUCAAAGCUGGCACUAAAUAACAAUUAUUAAGGUUUAAAACUAAUCCCGAAGGGAGAUGCAGAGGUAGCGUGCCGACGGCGAUCACAUUGACCUUGGAACCAUUCCCGACGCGCAUCGUCACCUCGUCCUUUGCCAGUUUCCGCUUAUUCCGCAGCCCCUGCUUUGAGUUACAAAUGUGAGCAACUGCACCGGUAUCAAAUACCCAGGAGCUACUACGGGCACUAGUAAGGUACACAUCAAUUACAUGUAUAUCACAUAUACCUUUUGUUUUGCCGGCCUUCUUAUCCGCUAAGUACUUAGGGCAGUUCCGCUUCCAGUGACCGCUUCCCUUGCAAUAAAACCACUCAGUCUCGGGCUUGGGUCCAUUCUUUGGCUUCUUCCCGGCAGCUUGCUUGCCGGGCGCGGCAACCUCCUUGCCGUCCUUCUUGAAGUUCUUUUUACCCUUGCCUUUCUUGAACUUAGUGGUUUUAUUGACCAUCAACACUUGAUGUUCCUUCCUGACUUCUACCUCUGCUGAUUUCAGCAUAGCAAAUACUUCAGGAAUGGUCUUUUCCAUCCCUUGCAUAUUGAAGUUCAUCACAAAGCUCUUGUAGCUUGGUGGAAGCGACUGGAGGAUUCUGUCAAUGACCGCAUCAUCCGGGAGAUUAACUCCCAGCUGAGUCAAGCGGUUAUGCAACCCAGACAUAGUGAGUAUGUGCUCACUGACAUAACUGUUUUCCUCCAUCUUACAGCUGAAGAAUUUGUCGGAGACUUCAUAUCUCUCGACCCGGGCAUGAGCUUGGAAAACCAUUUUCAGCUCUUCGAACAUCUCAUAUGCUCCAUGUCUCUCAAAACGCUUUUGGAGCCCCGGCUCUAGGCUGUAAAGCAUGCCGCACUGAACGAGGGAGUAGUCAUCGAAACGUGCCUGCCAAGCGUUCAUAACAUCUUGUUCUGCAGGGAGAACGGGUGCGUCACCAAGCGGUGCUUGUAGGACAUAAUCUUUCUUGGAAGCUAUGAGGAUGAUCCUCAGGUUCUGGACCCAGUCCGUAUAGUUGCUGCCAUCGUCUUUCAGCUUGGUUUUCUCUAGGAACGCGUUGAAGUUGAGGACUACGUUGGCCAUUUAAUCUACAAGACAUAUUGUAAAAUAUUUAGACUAAGUUCAUGAUAAUUAAGUUCAACUAAUCAAAUUAUUAAUGAACUCCCACUUAGAUUAGACAUCCCUCUAGUCAUCUAAGUAUUACAUGAUCCAAGUUAAACUAGACCGUGUCCGAUCAUCACGUGAGACGGACUAGUCAACAUCAGUGAACAUCUUCAUGUUGAUCGUAUCUUCUAUACGACUCAUGCUCGACCUUUCGGUCUUCCGUGUUCCGAGGCCAUGUCUGUACAUGCUAGGCUCGUCAAGUCAACCUAAGUGUUUGCAUGUGUAAAUCUGUCUUACACCCGUUGUAUGUGAACGUCUGAAUAAAACACCCGAUCAUCACGUGGUGUUCUGAAACAGCGAACUGUCGCAACGGUGCACAGUUAGGGGGAACACUUCUUGAAAUUAGUAUGAGGGAUCACCUUAUUUACUACCGUCAUUCUAAGUAAACAAGAUGCAAAACAUGAUAAACAUCACAUGCAAUCAAAUAAUAAACGUGACAUGAUAUGGCCAAUAUCACAUAGCUCCUUUGAUCUCCAUCUUGGGGCUCCAUGAUCAUCUUGUCACCGGCUUGACACCAUGAUCUCCAUCAUCAUGAUCUCCAUCAUCGUGUCUCCAUGAAGUUGCUCGCCAACUAUUACUUCUACUACUAUGGCUAACGCGUUUAGCAAUAAAGUAAAGUAAUUUACAUGGCGUUUCUUGAUGACACGCAGGUCAUAUAAAAGAAUAAAGACAACUCCUAUGGCUCCUGCCGGUUGUCAUACUCAUCGACAUGCAAGUCGUGAUUCCUAUUACAAUAGCAUGAACAUCUCAUACAUCACAUAUAGAUCAUUCAUCAUUCAUCACCACUUUGGCCAUAUCAUAUCACAAACCACUUGCUGCAAAAACAAGUUAGACGUCCUCUAAUUGUUGUUGCAAGUUUUACGUGGCUGAAUUAGGGUUCUAGCAAGAACGUUUUCUUACCUACGUUAAAGCCACAACGUGAUUUGUCAACUUCUAUUUACCCUUCAUAAGGACCCUGUUCAUCGAUUCCGCUCCAACUAAAGUAGGAGAGACAGACACCCGCCAGCCACCUUAUGCAACUAGUGCAUGUUAGUCGGUGGAACCGGUCUCACGUAAGCGUACGUGUAAGGUUGGUCCGGGCCGCUUCAUCCCACAAUACCGCUGAAGCAAGAAAGGACUAGUAACGGAAAGAAAGUUGACAAAUCUACGCCCACAACAAAUUGUGUUCUACUCGCGCAAGAAGAACUACGCAUAGACCUAGCUCAUGAUGCCACUGUUGGGGAACGUUGCAGAAAACAAAAAUUUUCCUACUCGUUUCACCAAGAUCAUCUAGGAGUUCAUCUAGCAACGAGUCAUUGGAUGCAUCUACAUACCUUUGUAGAUCGCGAGCGGAAGCGUUCAAAAGAACGGUGAUGAUGUAGUCGUACUCGACGUGAUCCAAAUCACCGAUGACCAGCGCCGAGCGGACGGCACCUCCGCGUUCAACACACGUACGGGACGGGAGACGUCUCCUCCUUCUUGAUCCAGCAAGGGGGAAGGAGAGGUUGAUGAAGAUCCAGCAGCACGACGGUGUGGUGGUGGAUGCAGGGCGUCACAGCAGCAGGGCUUCGCCGAGACUACGAGGGAGAGACGUAACGGGGGGAGGUGGAGGCGCCAGGGGCUGGUGUAAAAUCCCUCCUCUCCCCCCCACUAUAUAUAGGGGUGCCAAGGGGGGGGGGCGCCGGCCCUAGUAGAUGGCAUCUACUAGGGGGGGCGGCGGCCAAGGGGAGGUUUCCCUCCCCCCCAAGGCACCUAGGGGUGCCUUCCACCACAUGGACUCUUCCAUGGUGGAAACCCUAGGCGCAUGGGCCUAUAGGGGCUGGUGCCCUUGGCCCAUCUAGGCCAAGGCGCACCCCCUACAGCCCAUGUGCCCCCCGGGACAGGUGGCCCCACCCGGUGGACCCCCGGGACCCUUCCGGUGGUCCCGGUACAAUACCGAUAACCCCGAAACUUGUCCCGGUGCCCGAAAUAGCACUUCCUAUAUAUAAUUCUUUACCUCUGGACCAUUCUGGAACUCCUCGUGACGUCCGGGAUCUCAUCCGGGACUCCGAACAACAUUCGGGUUUCUGCAUAUACAUAUCUUCAUAACCCUAGCGUCACCGAACCUUAAGUGUGUAGACCCUACGGGUUCGGGAGACAAGCAGACAUGACCGAGACGACUCUGCGGUCAAUAACCAACAGCGGGAUCUGGAUACCCAUGUUGGCUCCCACAUGCUCCACGAUGAUCUCAUCGGAUGAACCACGAUGUCGAGGAUUUAAUCAAUCCCGUACGCUAUUCCCUUUGUCUAUCGAUAUGUUACUUGCCCGAGAUUCGAUCGUCGGUAUCCCAAUACCUCGUUCAAUCUCAUUACCGGCAAGUCACUUUACUCGUACCGCAAUGCAUGAUCCCGUGACCAGACACUUGGUCACUCUGAGCUCAUUAUGAUGAUGCAUUACCGAGUGGGCCCAGUGAUACCUCUCCGUCAUACAGAGUGACAAAUCCCAGUCUUGAUCCAUGUCACCCAACAGACACUUUCGGAGAUACCCGUAGUCUACCUUUAUAGUCACCCAGUUACGUUGUGACGUUUGGCAUACCCAAAGCACUCCUACGGUAUCCGGGAGUUACACGAUCUCAUGGUCUAAGGAAAAGAUACUUGACAUUGGAAAACUCUAGCAAACGAACUAUACGAUCUUGUGCUAUGUUUAGGAUUGGGUCUUGUCCAUCACAUCAUUCUCCCAAUGAUGUGAUCUCGUUAUCAAUGACAUCCGGUGUCCAUAGUCAGGAAACCAUGACUAUCUAUUGAUCAACGAGCUAGUCAACUAGAGGCUCACUAGGGACAUGUCAGUGUCUGUUAUUCACACAUGUAUUACGAUUUCCGGAUAACACAAUUAUAGCAUGAAUAAAGACAAUUAUCAUGAACAAGGAAAUAUAAUAAUAAUGCUUUUAUUAUUGCCUCUAGGGCAUAUUUCCAACAAAAGCUGCUGCUUACAAAAGGAUGAAAAACCUGGAAAUUCCCCCUACUUUUAAAAGUAAGUCUUUCACCACUGAAACAACAUCUAUUUUAGAGGCCUAUGCUUCUGCAGUUAAUAUUAAGAUUGGUGAUAAUGACAUGGAAAAAACAAGAUUAUUAGUGAUAUCAUUAGAAGUGAGACUGAAAAAUGCCUUAUGUUUGCUUCUCAGAACCCUGAAAUUUCUCUACAUGACAAUUUAGACUCUGAGAUUAAUGUUUAUACUGGAGUUUGUACUCCAAAAAAGGCAUUCCAUGCACAAACACACCAGGGGGCACUGCUGGUGUUGUGGGUGUCUCAGGGGAUGCUGUGAGAGGUGGACUUUUUAGUCUAAUACAUCCCUUUAAGAUUCCAUGAUUGGGAUCUUUUGGAACAUUAGAGGUUUAGGCCAAAAGGGGGAAUUACAGUGCCUGUCUGACCUAGUUCACAAGUAUAAGCCUGAUUUUUUAGGUUUUCAAGAAAUUAAGAGGGAAAGCCUAUCUGACUCAUUCCUCAAUACCUUAGCUGGCUCCACUUCUUAUGAGUGGAAUAUGCUGCCUGCAGUAGGCUCUGCUGGAGGUAUCCUUGUGGGUACUAACACCACUUGCUUUGAGGUCCUGGAUGUUAGUAUUAAGAAAUUUUGUAUUAUUUUGUCCUUAAAAAAUAAAUCUGAUGGAUUUUGCUGGCAUCUGAUUGUGGUUUAUGGGACAGCAUAUGCUGUAGGUAAACUGGAUUUUAUUGCUGAAUUGUAUGAAUGCAUGUAUGGGUUAUGCUAUCCUGUUCUGUUUGGGGGGACUUUAACCUGAUCAGGGAGGCUAAGGACAAAACCUCUAGCAAUAUUAAUACUUCCUAGGCAUUCUUGUUCAAUGAUUGGAUAAAUAAGUGGGGUCUAAUGGAAUAUAAGCUGUCAAACAGGGUUUUUACCUGGAGUAACAAUCAGGACAACCGCAUUCUUGUAACUAUUGACAGAGUUUUCUCUUCCACUAAUUGGUAUUGUCACUUCCCACUCACCACAUUAUGUGCCCUGCCUAGGGUGGGGAGUGAUCAUGCCCCUAUUUUACUGGAUUCUGGUGUAAGUAUGUGUAACCCAGCCAAACCUUUCAAAUUUCAGAAGUGGUGGCUUGAGCAACCAGGUUUUCAAGCCUUAGCAGAGAAAAUUUGGGCCACACCUUCACCAUUUACAACAGCUAUUGGGACCUGGCAAUUUAAAACAAAACUAUUUAGGAAACUUGUUAAAGGUUGGAGUAUUAACCUGGAAGCUGCUAUGAAGAAGAAAAAAGAAGGAUUUACUUCAGGAGUUUGAUAUCUUGAAUGUCUUUUCUGAGCAAAAUAGAACUGAUGCUGGGGAUAUCCUCAGGAUGAAACAAAUUAGGGGAGAGAUGGAGGAAAUUUGGAAAAAAGAGGAAACUGCCAUGUGGCAGAGAUCUAGAGAUAGGAAGAUCAAAGAGGAAGAUAGGAACACAACAUAUUUUCAUGUUGUUGCCAACCAAAAGAGGAGGAAAAACCGGCUAUCUAUUUUGGAAGGUCCAAAUGGACCUGUAUACUCCACUAAACACAUGCUGGAAGUUGCUACCAGCUUUUAUAAAAACCUCUUUGGAUAUGAACUCAGACCCAGUGUUCAUUUAGAUGACCAUUUUUGGUCUGAGGAAGAGCUUGUGACAGAUACAGAAAACGCCAUGCUUGAGAGGCCAUUUUCAGAAGAGGAAAUUAAGGAAGCUAUUAUGAGCUCCUAUGCUAAUGGGGCCCCUGGUCCUGAUGGCCUCUCAUUUCUGUUCUAUCAACACUUUUGGGAGGUUAUCAAAAAGGAUUUUAUGGCUCUGGUGAAGGAUUUUGAAAAUGGGGUUUUAGAUAUCCAAAGACUAAAUUACUCUAUUGUUACUCUUAUUCCUAAAGAACCAGAUGCCAAAGAGAUGAGGAAAUUCAGGCCCAUUUGUUUAAGUAACUGUUCUGUGAAAAUCUUUAGUAAAGCUAUGACAAAUAGGGUUGCCCCUAUGGGCCAUAGGCUUCUGUCACCUUGUCAGUCUGCUUUUGUGAGAGGAAGGUUUAUCCUUGAGAGUGUGGUUACUGCCCAUGAGGACAUACAUGAAGUUCACAAGUCAAGAGACCCUGGAAUUGUGCUUAAGUUGGAUUAUGAAAAAGCCUACGAUCGUGUGAACUGGGAUUUCCUAGUAGAAAUGUUAACCUCUAGGGGCUUUGGAGCUCAGUGGAUUCGGUGGAAACUCUACAUUUUGCAACAAAGCUCUUUAAGUGUCAAGAUUAAUGAUGUCCUAGGCCCUUACUUUGUAGGGGGAAAAGGGCUCAAACAAGGAGACCCAAGCUCCCCGAUGCUUUUCAACUUGGUAGCCGAUGUGUUCUCUCGUAUGCUGGUUAAGGCUGUCAACAAUAACAUAAUUGCUGGGAUUGUUCCUCAUAUCAUCCCACAGGGGCUGAUAUGUUUACAGUAUGCUGAUGAUACAAUCCUUUUCCUUAAUCCUAAACCUGAGUAUGUUAGAAACUUAAAAUGGCUACUAGCUUGUUUUGAAAACCUUUAUGGGUUGAAAAUUAAUUAUGACAAGUGUGAGGUGGUUCCAAUUAAUAUGAAUGAAGAUGAUGCUAAAAUUUUAUCACAAAUUUUCCACUGUAAGUUGGGGGAUUUCCCCCUUAAAUAUCUUGGGGUUCCUUUACACUACCUCAAGCUGAGGACGGAGGACAUUCAAUACAUCAUAGACAAGAUUAUUAAAAGAAUUUGUGGUUGGAAAGGGAGGCUACUUAGCUAUGAAGCAAAGUUGGUUCUCCUCAAAGCCUGUAUUGCUAUUAUACCUAUGUAUUUGAUGUCUAUUAUUAAAUUUCCUAAAUGGGCAAUUAAUGUUAUCACUUCACAGAUGGCUCAUUUCUUCUGGGGGAACCUAGGGGAUGACCAUAAAUACCAUCUUGCUAACUGGGGCCUAAUUUCACAGAAAAAAGAUUUUGGUGGUUUGGGGGUGCCCAAUUUAAGAGAAUUUAACAUGGCUUUGCUGGCUUCUUGGGCUAAAAGAUAUUUCAUGGAUAGUGAUAAAAAUUGGGUUAGAUUGGUAGAUCAUAAGUAUCGAACCAACAAACCUAAUUUUUUGUGGUCCAAACAGAGAGUGGGGUCACCUUUUUGAAGGGUGUUACUUGGGAUUUUGAAGGGAUAAGACCUUUUUUUAAAUGGAACUUAGGCAAUGGUGACAAAAUUAGCUUCUGGGAUGGCACUUGGGUGGGGGAUUCUUCCUUGAAAACACAAUUUUGGGAGGUUUAUGAAAUCUGCCAACAGCAACAGUGUUCAGUUUCGGUGGUAUGGGAUGGCCUCAACCUAAAACUUACUUUCAGUAGAUGUGUGGGGACUGAUUUCAUGGAGAGAUGACGUGACCUGAUCCGAGUCAUCUCUACCAAAACCCUGUCUAACGAGGAGGACCAACCUGUUUGGUUAUUAGAAACAUCAGGGACUUACUCGGUUAAAUCCUUUUAUUCCAUGAUUAACUGGGGUGGGGUUUCUACUCCUGUCUGGAAAAACUUUUGCAAGAUUGUUGUACCUCACAGGUAUCUAGUCUUUUUGUGGCUAGCUUUUAAUAAUAAAAUUCUCACUAGGGAUAAUUUGAACAAAAUAAGGGUGGUGGAUAAUUUAAAAUGCUUAUUCUGUGAUGAGGAGGAAUCAAUUUGCCACCUGUUCUUUGAAUGUGUAGUUGCCAGACAGGUUUGGAGUGAUGUGGCUGACUCUUUUGAGUUCAGUAUCCCUAAUAACAUGGCUGAAUUGUCCUCUUUUUGGAAUGUGAAUAAUAAGAAAUAUGUUGUCAAUAUUGCAUGUGUUGCUACUAUUUGGAGCAUUUGGACUAUGCGUAACGAUAUGUGUUCUCAGGGUAUACCAUGGACAAGCACCCGUGCAAUAUUGGCAAGGAUCAGCACAUUGCUGCAUCAAUGGAAGAUUCUCUGUGGAGGCGAUCAAUCGGUCCUGCUGAGAAGAUGCCUCCAACUUCUGGAUCGGCGAAGAGGAGAGCUGCUUAGGAUUGCCUAGGUGUGGGCCUGAGAGCGUGCGCGAAGAAGAACGGAGGUGGGACGCUGAAGGCUCACUCAGAGUGAUGAUGGAGAAAAGCAGAGAUCUCCCCCUUCGUCCUACUCCUGCCGCGACUCAGAUGGUGACUUAUGUCUAGCCUUGCAUGGCUUCAAAAAAAAGACGUUAGGUUUCCUUUUGGUAACUUUGAUUCAGUCUGGUCUGCAUCUAAAACUUCUAGGGAUGUAGAUCUUUCUGUUUUCUGGUCUGUUACUUCUGGCAGACCCGGUUGCUUGUAACAGUCUUGAUGACUUGCAUUGCUCCGUUUAUAUAAAAAUGGGGCGGAGGAAACCCCUUUUGAUAAAAAAAAUGCCGUUGCAAAGGACAGUGUUCUUCUGGGGCUGUGUGCUUGGUACAAAAUGGAUAGUCAGGCGUACAGAUCCUGGCAUGCCUACUCCGAGCCCAAGUCCAAUACGGUCUCGAUCGACCAUGAUAACGAUUGGGAUACAACGGUACAAUGUUAUUAGGCUGCCCGUAAUAGGAGUAUCAUAGAUAGUAUCAUGCAUGCCAACUAAGCAAUUUUGAUGAAGUGACAUAGAAUUAAAUGAAGAAAGAGAGGCUUGAGUAUCAUAUCAUGAUACCGUAUCAUAUUAAAUGGUGUGCUACUAUGUGUCAUGCAUGGCAAUAAAUGUAAUCCUCUAUGAUACCAACAUAUGAUAUUAUGCAUUAGUUGGCAUGAUACUAAUAUAUGAUACUAGUAUAUGAUACUCCCCAUUACAAUCAGCCUUAUGUAAAUACACCCAGCCAGGAGCUAGCUUGGUUGGUCGACUCCAUAAUCUGUUUCCUCAGUUCUGUCGCCGGCUCCCGCCCCAAUGGACGCCGUCGCCGACGGAAACGGCCUGUGCCUCCCCUAUGAUGUACUCCGUGAUGUCCUCCGCCGCCUCCCGCCCCGCGCCGUCGCCCAGUUCCGGACCGUCUGCCGCGCUUGGUGGACAAUCAUUGACGGCCAUGGCCUGCUACCACGCUUCUUCACAUCACGGGUCUUCCCAUGCAUUUUCACCAAUCAUAUUAGAUUUUUUGGGAAAAGGGAGACAUCCCCGGCCUCUGCAUCGGAUAGAUGCAUAUGGCUACCUUUAUUAAACAAGCAAAUAGGUUCAACACAAGUCUAAAAGUCUCAAACAAAGCUGCUCACAUGGAGCUAAGGAAGAAAAACAAAUGACACAGCCGGCCGGCAAGAGAAAGACAGUAAAACUAAUUGCCUAUCCUAUUACAUGACCGCCAUCCAAACCGGCUGAAAAUAUCCCGUGCAACCAUCUCCCAUCGGACAGAUCCAAUAACCGAACCCUCCCUGGCCUCCGUCGGAGUGAGUAAUGACCACAUACGGAUCAAAGCAGUGGCUCGGAAUAUAACCUGCAAAAAAUGAGUAUUUGAUUUUCUGUUAAAGACUAAAUCAUUUCUGCAAUUCCAGAUAACCCAUAAUAACGCACAUACUCCUACACGAAUGUGUCUUGCUGUUUGGGGCUCAAUACCAUCCAACCAUGUUCCAAAUAACGUGUUAAUAUUAUGUGGAGGAGUAAUAUUAAAGGCUGUGGUCACUGAUUUCCAUAGAAUUUUUGCCAUAGGAUAAUCGAGAAAGAGGUGCUUUAUAGUUUCAUCUGUAUCACAAAAGCUACACCGACCGGAUCCAGUCCAAUUGCGUUUAAUCAAGUUAUCCUUUGUUAAAAUGACUGGUUUAUGCACAAACCACAUGAACACUUUAACUCUCAAGGGAACUUUGACAUGCCAAACAUGUUUCGACGUAGGAAUAUAACUAGAAUUAAUAACAUCCAAGUACAUGGAUUUAAUCGUAAAUUCUCCAUUCCUCGUAAGCUUCCAACACAACCGAUCUAGACGUUGAGAAAGUUGAACCUCCAUCAGUCUUCUCACAAGAUGGAGCCAAGCUUCCCAACGGUUACCGGCUAAAGCUCUCCUGAAGCUAAUAUGUAAAGGCGUGGACUGACAUACCAUCUCAAUGAUCGCAUCUCUUUGUUGAACAAUACUAUAGAGAGAAGGAUACUGAACCACCAAUGACGUAUCCCCUAGCCAAGUAUCCUCCCAGAAUCUUGUAGAAGUACCGUUACCGAUAACCACCUUGGUCUGGUUAAAGAAGAGCGAUUUAACUCGCAUCAGGCCUUUCCAGAAAGGCGAAUCCAUCGGCCUCACCGUCACCUGGGAUAAGGUCUUGGAAUGAAGGUACUUAUUACGCAGAAUCUAGGCCCAAGUGGCCUCGGUCUCUCGAGAAAGCUUAUAUAGCCAUUUACUGAGGACACAUUUGUUCUUUACCUCAAGAUUUUCGAUACCAAGACCCCCUUGAUCCUUUGGUCGACAAAUAAUGUCCCAUCUAGCUAUUCUAUACUUUCUCUUCAACUCAUCACUUUGCCAGAAAAAAUGAGAUCGAUAGAAAUCGAGUCUUUUCCAAACUCCCACUGGCACUUUGAAAAAAGACAAAAGGAACAUGGGCAUACUGGUGAGCACCGAAUUAAUAAGAACUAACUGGCCUCCAUAUGACAUCCGUUUGCCCUUCCAGCAUCCCAAUUUCUUCUCAAAGCGAUCCUCAAUGCACUUCCAUUCGCUAUUUGUUAGCUUACGGUGAUGAAUGGGUAUACCUAAAUACAUAAAAGGUAAAGCCCCUAAUUCGCACACGAACAAUUUCUUAUAUGCCUCUUGUUCCUCCUUGGCUCUACCAAAGCAGAACAAUUCACUCUUGUGAAAAUUAAUUUUCAGACCAGACAAUUGUUCGAACAAGCAUAACACCAGCUUCAUGUUUCGCGCCUUCGCCAAGUCAUGCUCCAUAAAGAUGAUAGUAUCAUCAGCGUACUGUAGGACAGAUACACCUCCAUCAACUAGAUGAGGUACCAAGCUACCUACAUGUCUAGCAUCCUUAGCCCUCCCUAUUAGAAUUGUCAACAUGUCAACUACAAUGUUGAACAUAAUAGGUGACAUUGGAUCUCCUUGUCUCAGGCCUUAUGUGUUUGGAAAUAAUGACCUAUGUCAUCAUUCACUUUGAUUCCAACACUGCCUUGUUGUGUGAAAGAUUAUAUCUGUCUUCGCCAAGCUAGAUCAAAACCUUUCAUCCUCAAUGCCUGUUGAAGGAAUGGCCAUUUGACUUUGUCGUACGCUUUUUCAAAAUCCACUUUGAAAACCACUCCAUCUAGUUUUUUUGUAUGGAUUUCAUGGAGCAUUUCAUGCAGGACCACCACCCCUUCAAGAAUGUUCCUAUUCGGCAUGAAAGCAGUUUGGGAUGGCUGCACCACAGAAUGCGCAAUCUACGUGAGUCUAUUAGUCCCAACCUUGGUGAAGAUUUUGAAACUUACAUUCAAAAGACAGAUGGGCCUAAACUGCUCAAUUUGGACCGCCUCUGUUUUCUUAGGCAACAAAGUAAUAGUUCCAAAAUUCAGAUGAAACAAUUGAAGCUGUCCAGCGAAUAAGUCGUGGAACAUCGGAAGCAAGUCCCCUUUAAUAAUAUGCCAGCAUAUCUUAUAAAACUCUGCCGGAAAUCCAUCCGGCCCUGGAGCAGAGUUACUCUUCAUUUGAGCAAUAGCUUCAAACACCUCUUUCUCUGAGAAUGGGGCAGUUAAGAUAUCAUUCUCAUCUGAAGCCAACUGGGGGAUAUCCUCAUUCCGCGACUCAUCUAGAGAUACGAAAUUAUCCUGCGGAGGCCCAAAUAAUUUCUUAUAAUAGUCAGUGAUGUAUAGUCUUAAAUUAUCCUGCCCUACAAUCGUCCCUUCAUCUUGCUCAAGCUGAAAGAUCCUUUUCUUUGUGUGCUUGCCAUUAGCGAUCAUAUGAAAAACUGAGUGUUGGCAUCCCCUGGGCCACUUUGCGUACCUUCGCCCGCAAUGCCCACUUCAGUUCUUCUUCUCGCAGAAGCUCUUUCAACCUCAUCUCCGCAUCUAGCUUAACAUGAAAUUCUGUUGGAUCUAGGAUUGUGCACUCGGCUUUUACAUCUAAGGCCUGAAUAAGGGAAAGGAGCCUUUCCUUUUCGACCUUAUACACCCCACUAAGAUGCUUAGCCCACCCUCGUAAGAAACUUCACAGGUGACGAAUCUUAUUCUGCCACCUCUCUAUUGGAGUUCUGCCUCCUGAAUUUUUAGCCCAUUCCCUGGCUAUAAGAUCCAAAAAACCUUCUCUCUCAUACCAUGCUAGUUCAAAAGAAAAGACAUUCGUGUUCCCCACGUUUGUUGCCUCACCAGAGUCAACCAGCAACGGGGCGUGGUCCGAAAUUCCGCACGAUAACGGCUGUACGGUGACUAUAGGAAACUUUUGUUCCCAGUCAAUGCUCGUGAGGACACAGUCAAGCUUCUCAAAAGUAGGAGUAGGCAAAGAAUUAGCCCAUGUGAAUUUUCUGCCCGAAAGCUCUAUCUUUCUCAGAUCCAAGCUUUCAAUAAUUGUGUUAAACAUAAAUGACCAUCUGGCAUCAAAAUUGUCAUUGUUCUUUUUGUCCCUCCUUCUAAUGAUAUUGAAGUCGCCCCCUACUAAGAUUGGAAGCUGCUCAGAUUCGCAAAUACGGACUAGAUCCGCCAGAAAGUCUGGUAUUAAUUCUGGCUGUGCGGCACCAUAUACCGCCACCAAGGCCCAAUUAAAUCCGCCGAUCUUAGACCUAACCCUAAAUUUGACAGCGAAAUCUCCCAUGACCACACUCCGGACUUCCAGCGUCUCACAUCUAACCCCAAGUAAGAUGCCGCCUGAUCUUCCUCUCGGAGGUAGACAAUGCCAAUCAAAAUUGGCCCCUCCCGACAACGUAUUAAGGAAUUGAGGCGCAAAAUUGCCUCUUUCGGUUUCCGAAAGAGCAAUAAAGUCCAGCCUCUAUUCGAUCGAAGCCUCUGCUAGAAAACGUCUUUUAGCCAAGUCCGUCAGAUCUCUGCUAUUCCAAAAAAUUCCUCUCAUAACUCAUCAUGAUUUUUUUUGGUCAUCUGGUUCCUAGCACUUCUACGCACUGCUGAAGUCAGGUAGAUCUUGCGUUGCCACUUGCGCUUAGGUUUGGGUAUAUCCACCACUCGGUCCUCACAACCAGUGUCAGGGAGUCCCUCGGAAAGGUCCUCUAUAGGUUCGUCAUCCCCAAUCGUUAAAGAACCAUCCUCCUCCCCUGUCUUAGGGGGAGCGGGUAAUAUCUGGACAAAGCGAAUCUAACACCCUAACUCCCAACUGUGCAAUCUAAGAAUCGUUCAUAGGUUUAACCGCUGCUAGAUUACGAAUCAUGUCUAAAGCACGAUCCGCUUCAAGAUACAAGAUAUCAUUGACUGAAUGCGAGAUUUCAUUAUCAUUACUACCAAGUGAAACACCUAAAUGGUUUGCAUUAUGAAUAAUCUCAACAUCAGAAAAAUACAGAAUAGAGUUGGAGGUGUUGACCGACAUACCAGUAGUGACCUCCAGAUCACGAAGCUUGGCCGCCCACUUGGUGCACCUCAGCUGCAUGUCAUCAACCUCCGGCUGGUCCUGGAGGCGACAGCUCAUCCGCCGCCCCUGAGACACAGGAUCCAGGAUCCCUUCAAAAGCGAUGACCUCCUCCCUAGAAGCAUGGAUAGGGGUCGGACCUCCCGCCUCACCCCCACCACUCGGAAGACGAGGAGCCUCCUGCCCCGACCUCGGCGCCGAUACCGACAUGCGCACAGGGGAAGGGAUAUGAGGGGCCACUUGCCCCCCUCCUCACCGAGCCGAGCUGCCAGGCCUGCGGGUGAAGCGCCCAAGCAAGAUGGCGCCGGCGAUCGCGACCCAUGAGGCGGAUCAAGGGAUAGCCUGCCCUCAGCGCCAUCUGACGCUGUAGAAGAAGACUGCGUAGCCACCACAGGAGAGGAAAGACCCAAGGCCUCCUGCCCUGGUCUCCCUCUCACCGCCGACACGACGGCAGUGGGCAGUGGAGAUCCCUCCCCUAUGGUCCUCGACCGAGGAGAAGCAACAGGAGAAGAAGGGGAAGAGGGGGCCUCCUGCCCACUAUCCCCGCCUCUCUCGGCAAUGUCUUCAAACCCUACAAAGUCUAAGGGUGGUAGCGUGCCCUAUAGCACAUCCUCAGACUCCACCUGACCGCUCCAGAGUCUCGGAGGAGCGGAUGCAGGCUCAAACGAUCCGAAUCUCAAAGUGCUCAUAGGCGUCGAAACCGAAGGGGCCGCCCCAGACCCAGGCGCCUGCGAGGUGGAACUCGGCCCGUUGGCCAACUGAUGCUCAACCUCAUCCCCUCGCGAUUCCGUGUUACCCGAACCAUCAUCCUUAUCCUGCAUAUCCACAUCCGCCCCUGCCAUAGCCUCCACAAAAAGAUCUGAGUCCUCAAACUCUAUCUCAAGGUUGAAAACCUCGCCCUUAUAAGUCCACUUGACCACGUUAGGUACAAGCUCAAUAUCAAGGAUACUCACCAGUAAGCGUGCCACUCCAUUAGCUCUGGUGAAAGCCAUAUCCACCUUCUCAGUUUUCCCAACCAGCAUUCCCAAGCUAGCAGCAACUCGGGCAUCAUGAAGCGGCUUGCAAGGCGCCCUAGAGAAACGCAACCAAACCUGAGUGAGGGGCUUGCCCUGCGGCUCAACUCGUUUCCACUCAUGGAACUCGAGGAUACACUCAGUACCAGGGACUCUGCAUAACCCAAAACUGAGCAUGCGCUCCAAGUCCUCCAAGGUCAGAAAGUCAACCUUAUAAGAAUUAUCCUCCAGGCGACUAAGUUCCCACACAAAGUUAUCUGGUAUUAACUCAGAAAAACUGUGAAUAACCUGUGCCUUGAUACGUCUCCAACGUAUCUAUAAUUUUUGAUUGCUCCAUGCUAUAUUAUCUACUGUUUUGGACUAUAUUGGGCUUUAUUUUCCACUUUUAUAUUAUUUUUGGGACUAACCUAUUAACCGGAGGCCCAGCCCAGAAUUGCUGUUUUUUUGCCUAUUUCAGUGUUUAGAAGAAACGGAAUAUCAAACAGAGUCCAAACGGAAUAAAAUCUUCGGGAACGCGAUUUUCUCACCGAACGUGAUCCAGGAGACUUGGACCCUGCUCCAAGGAACAAAAGAGGCGGUCACGAGGGUGGGGGGCGCCCCUCCCUAGGGCACGCCCCCUACCUCGUGGGCCCCUCGUUGAUCACUACAAGAAAUAUGUCAACUUAUGACCACCACUAUUGGUCACUGAAAGGUCACAAAUUUCCAUUUAUGACCUUUUUGUGACCAAAAACAUAAGGUCAAAAGCUGGGCGUCGUAAACUGACUAUAGCGACCUUUCUUCUGGAAUGGUCGCAAACGUUUAUGACCAAAAUACGUCUACUGUGGCGUUUUGGUCACUAGCAACCUCCCCAGGCCACGUAGGCAUCCAGCGUGGCAAGCUGAUGUGGCACAAGAUUCAGCCCAGUCCAAUUCGAUUUUCUACAUGGGCCUAGCCCAACAAUUCGGCCUUUUUACUGUAUUUUUUUCCUGUGCUUUUAUUAGCUACAUGGGUCUGGCCCAACAAUUCAGCCUUAUUAAUUUCUUUGCAUGGCCCUUUUAAUAGCAUAUUUUCUUUUUGAUCAUGAAUUUUUCUGGGCCAUUUCUUUGUUGGGCCUCUCAUGUUUUUUAUAUGUAUCAUGGGUCCACUAGUCAAAUGGAUCCCAAUUAUCAUGUUCUCAUAAGUGGGUCCAAGUUGUUAGGUUCUAACAAGUGGGUCCGACUUGUCAGGGCCAUAUUCCUCAUUUCAUUUUGACAGUAAAUAAAUAACCAAUAUUUAAAUUGGCACCGACAAAAUACACAUAUAAUACUUCAAAUAACAACAACCAGAUUCAGUAUAGAGCCAGAUUCUGUAUGGAGCUCCUGCUCUACAAAUAACACGCAAUACAAUGGUGCUCCUGCUCUACAAAUAACUCUACAAGUGGAGUAACUAAUUUAUAAGCUCUACAAGCACUAUAUUCUUCAGGAUGGAUCUCCUUCGAUAGCAUUACAAACAGGCAAAUGCACCUGCUCCUGCCAUAGUCAGGACUGAGCUAAUACGGUCGCCCUGUUACAUGAAUCAGGAGAGAAGAAUCAGAAAACUGGAGCCAAUAUAUUAUGAAGAGACCAUUCAAUAAAAAGGACAAGUUCUUCAGAAUGAUAACACAAAUUCAGCUAGCACAAUGCUUUUAGAAGUUACAAAAAAAACGAUUACUACAUGGCAGAUGAUCAUGAAGAGUAUAAACACAUCUUAAAUCUUACUUGUAAAAACAGAAUACAUUAGUGCAGGGGAGUUCAGGCAGAAAACAUACUACCAUAGUGUGCCCCUGGUUAGCCCGAAUCAGUAGCUCGCCAUACUCCUCCAAUAGACUGAACCUCUACUUGCUGUCUCUCCUGACCGCCUACACGCGAGAAGGCAAAAAAACAUUUACUUAAAGCAUCUUACAAUUCACAACAAGUUCGAGACUGACCCAAUUAAUUUUACAGCAUAUAGAGAUUUCACAAUCAACGGUCAUGGUGCUAGGCUGCUAGCUAUCAAGAUGAAAACAACAUGUAGCAGAUACAUUGUACAAACAGGAAUUCGGCUGAAAUCCUAGGUCACAAACCCGCAACAUCGCAUUAACACUGCGUGUGCAAUGAUUUGGCUAACAAGUGCAAACAACACGAAACACAUACUGUAGCACAACUAAGAACAACACAGGCCAUAGAAAUAAUAUAACCAGUCAAGGGCAGCUCUAAGCAAGCAUAGUUGCACAUGCAAAUUCAACUGUCUAGUUAAAUGCUCUACAGGUCUUCUAAAUUGCUCGACAGAUAAAAACAGCGCAAAAUACUUCAUGAAAGCACGAAAUCAUUACAUUGUACUGGUACUGAAACAGAAACAGGAACAAAUCGAGCAUCGGCUCCAACGCAGAUCGGGAAUACAGCAAUACAGUAUCAAAAAUAAAUUACUAGAAUACAUAGAAAUUCCAUGCAAAUGAGUAAUUCCAUAAUAUAGUUUCUUUUUUUGAAGAGUUGCAUAUCACAAUAAAAACAGAUACAAUGUUUAAUUGCCCGAGGCCAGAACAGUAUAGUAAAGAACACAGAACAUUCAAGGCAUGCAUACAUUAUUAAUUAAAAGAGAGGAUCUAUCAAUAAGGAUGAGUUAACCCAUGCAUUCCUUACAUAUGAGAGCAUUAGAAUACAGUUAACAAAUGCACUUUCACUGUCAAAUCUGAAGUAAUACAACCAAUCAUAGUUAAAAUGGCUGGGAUGUAACUCAUAUCUAUACGCAGGUCACAUACUAGCAUAGAUCUUAAACGAGCUGAGUUAAGGAAAAAUUAAUGACUGAAACAAUUCUAACAGCAAGCUGGUUAAGCGGUGCAGCCUUCCAGGUACCAUUGCAUACCCAACUUAUAAUAUUGCCAUCAAACUUCCACAUAAAUGACAAGUCAAACAUGCUGAUGGACAACAGAAUUUAGCUCAUACAAUGCAAAACUAUUGUACACAAAACCACAGUUUGGAUCUAUCUAGCAAACCGUUUUAAGAACAAAUCACAUCAAGACAUGGACAGUAAAGGCAAUCAUUUUAGAAGGCUUGGACUGCAUAUACAAGUUGAUAAUGGAACUAACAGAGUUUAGCUUAUGUAGUUCAAGAAUUAUACUCCCUCCGUCCGAAAAUAAGUGACUCAACUUUGUACUAACUUUGUACUAAAGCUAGUACAAAGUUGAGUCACUUAUUUUGGGACGGCACUUGACAUUGGAACGCUAGCACGUGGAAAUUAGAGGAACUGAAACUGCAUCCACCGGGCAGAACCAGCUGUGCAUGGCUGUUGCAGCAGAAAAAGACUGCCUCAGUCAACCUAUUAUUUUGCUUGGGAUGAGGAUGAUCUACAAAAAUGAGUAAGAUAUUAUUGGCAUCAGCUGAACUAGCAGUAGUGCAUCUAACUGAGAUACGGAUAAAGACAGGUAAAAGCUGAGACAAAGUAGCUACUGGCCUGCUACAUCAAGGAAUCCCUCUCUGUCUCUCUGCUUGCAUGUUUGCAAGCACACGAGGGAAAACUAACAAGCUACCAGUACAAACCUAAUAAAUAACAAACAGAGGAGGCUCCACGUCCAAGGCCACCAGAUGAUUAGCAUCUCCACCAGACGAUCUACAAUCACAAGUCCAAGGCCACCAGAUGAUUAGCAGUGGCUCGACUAAUCAACUAUUCACUACUGGAGUAAUGAUUACCAAGUUAUCCGUCACAUCUUGCUGUUGGCAACAUCACACAAGAACCAGAGUGUCGUCGUCCACCUCGCCCUUGAGGUCAAGCAGCUCGAAGAUGAGGCUCCACGUCGCGUGCACAGCUACAAAUUAACGCAUGCAUAUGGAUCAGUACAGGAACGCCCCAACCAAAAGCGGAAUGGGAGGAUCAGAGAAAGCAAGAGAAGGUGGAGGAUGUGUGCAGGGAGGGGGGAAUGUUAGUACCUGGAACCGGACGAAGAAGGUGGAAGACGGCUGCGUGAGAAUCCUCUCGGUGCCGCCGCACCCUCCUAGUGAGUGCAGAUCCGGGGCCUCACUUGGUCACGACCAGAUGUGACCCUUGUUGAGGACGUGGCCGAUACCCGCGAGGACGAGCAAGAUGCAGCUCGUCGUGGAUCUGGGAGGGCCACUGCGUCACCUGCUCGAUCCGGGAGCGUUGGUGGUGCAUGCACCUGCGUGAGGAGGGAAGACACAGCACGUAAGGUAGAGUAAGGGAAGCCGAGGGGAGAACAGCAAAUCGACAUAUUGCCUUACCUAUACGAGCAGCAGAAGCACGCGCGGAUGGCGUCGUCGAUCGAGCGGAAGCAGACGUGGGGAUGCAGCCAACUCGCCAUGGAGAUGGAGCACCAGGUCCAACCCAUGGGCGGAUCUGGAAGCCGAUGCCAUGGAGGAGAUGAGCUCCAGGUCCAGCCCCUGGGCGGAUCUAGGAAUGGUCGGGGAGAGGUCGACGGCGGGGUGGUGCGGCCGCCGUGGGCGAGGAUGACGGCGGGGUGGUGGCGGCCGCCGUGGGCGAGAUCGACGGCGGGUUGGGGGCGGCGGUUGUGGACAAGCACGGUGGAUCCGGGCGGGGCUGGGGACGGGACCGGGGGAGGAUGGUAUCUACACGAGGCCAUCGCCGGGGUUUGUGGCAUGGUGGAGGCGGCCAUGAGGAGGGAAGGAGGAGAAGGCGAGGGAGAGAGGGCGCCGCCGCCGGCGAUGGGAAGCUAGGGUUAGAGAGGGGUGGCGGCGUCGAUCUGGAUCGGAUCAAGAUCUGAGGGAGGGAGAGGGCGGCGGCUGUGGGAGCGGGUUGUGUUAGGUCUAGUUAGGUGAGACGGUGGGGAGUCAAGUCUGCUGUUAGACCAGGGACGAUCGGACGGUUCAGAUCGCCUACGGUAGGGUAAUCCGGGAGAGACGUCCUGAUUGGUUGAAGACUAUGGCUGUAAUUUAGAAUAUAGUCUUUAAGUGCUAAAAACAAAGGGGUUUAUGAAGCAACUACCAAUAAUAUUUUGCAAAAUGGAACCACUAAAAUUUUCACUCAAGUUACACCACAUUUUAUGGAUGAUGAUAACCAACUUGUAUGCAUUUCCAAUCAUUCUAGCCUUUUUUGGCCAUUUAAGUUUUGUAAGAUUCCAUCCGCAGCUACGAACGGUUACGCCCAUGGUUUUAAUCGUGUUUUGAAAUUGGCAUAAAGAAUUAAAGAAAUCAAAAAUGGAAAGCCUUUGCAUUGUGUGAUCUAGUGUCUAGGAAAAAACAAACUUCUAACACGAUAAUUACUUUUAAAAAGUCUACUUAAAUAGUCAAUCUUAUGGUCACAUUCUUGGCAUAGUCUACUCAAAUGACCUCAUAUCAUGCACAAGGGUGCAUCCUGGAAUGGCAAACAAUUUUGCCUAAGGAAUCUUUUAUUUUCUUUGGACGAAAAAUCAGUUUUCCAUUUUUUCGAUUGCCCAAAAUGAGUUUUUUCGUGAAGGGCCUACCAUAUAUUUGUUGCAAAAUUGUACCUAAUCAAUUUUAUAAAAUACUAGGCCAUAUAUAAUGCACAAUUGACCAAAUGGUCGGGUGUAAAAAGUUUUGAUCCACCUCUAGUGAAAAAGACAAAUUCCCGCUGAUUCAGUAGGAAGCGGGUCAAAUUUGAACUGUAGCUACCUCGUAGUUUGCUAUUUAUUUUUUCCAAAAAUCAUUUCUAGGGACAUAAGUAUCUAUUUAAUCAGAGAAAUACCAAAAAAAUUCCAAGAUUCAACCACUACCUAGGAACGGUCAAGCCCGCUGUUUUGACCGCAUUUUGAAAUGGGCAUAAAAAAUUCAAAAAAAUUUAAAAAAUUGGGAAAACUUCGCAUUGUGUCAUUAUAUGUGACCAAGUUUUCAGGAAAAAUAAUAAACUUGUAAUACGAUGUUGCCUAAGGAAGUUUUCAUUUAUUUUGGACGAAAAAAUCAUUUUCCAUUUUCAGAGUGCCCAAAAUGAGUUUUUUUGUGAAGGACCUACCAAAUAAUUGUUGCAACUUUGGACCAAAUGAAUUUUAUAAAAUACUAGGCCAUAUUUAAUGCACAAUUUACCAAAUAGUUGGGUGUCACAAGCUUUGAUCCACCUCUGGUGAAAAAGACAAAUUUCUGCCGAUACAGCUGGAAGCGGGUCAAAUUUGAACUGCAGCUGCCUCAUAGUUUGCUAUUUAUUUUUUUCCAAAAAUCAUUUCUAGGUACAUAAGUAUCUAUUUAAUCAGAGAAACACCAAAAAAUUUCCAAGAUUCAACCACUAGCUAGGAACGGUCAUUCCCGCCGUUUUGACCGCAUUUUGAAACGGGCAUAAAAAAUUCAAAAAAAAUCAAAAAAUUGGGAAACCUUCGCAUUGUGUCAUCAUAUGUGGCCAAGUUCCUAUGAAAAAUAACAAACUUGUAAUACGGCAAUUAUUUUAAAAAAGUGUUCUCAGAAAAGAGCUAUCACGUGUGGAGAUCAAUGGCUUUCAAGCCAAAUGAUCAAUCUUAUGGCCACAUUCAUGGCAUAGUUUGUUCAAAUGAUCUCAUAUUGUGCACAAGGGUGCAUAUUGGAAUGGCAAACAAUGUUGCCUAAGGAAGUUUUCAUUUUCUUUGGACAAAAAAACCAUUUUCCAUUUUUUGAGUGCCCGAAAGGAGGUUUUUUUGUGAAGAACCUCCAAAAUAAUUGUUGCAAAAUUGGACCAAAUCAUUUUUCUAAAAUACUAGGCCAUAUUUAAUGUACAAUUGACAAAAUGGUUGGGUGUAAAAAGUUUUGAUCCACCUCUCAUGAAAAAGACAAAUUUCCGCCGAUUCAGGUGGAAGCAGGUCAAAUUUGAACUGCAGCUUCCUCAUAGUUUGCUAUUUAAUUUUUCCAAAAAUCAUUUCUAGGUACAUAAGUAUCUAUUUAAUCAGAGAAACACCAAAAAAUUUCCAAGAUUCAACCACUAGCUAGGAACGGUCAUUCCCGCCGUUUUGACCGCAUUUUGAAACGGGCAUAAAAAAUUCAAAAAAAAUCAAAAAAUUGGGAAACCUUCGCAUUGUGUCAUCAUAUGUGGCCAAGUUCCUAGGAAAAAUAACAAACUUGUAAUACGGAAAUUAUUUUAAAAAAGUGUUCUUAGAAACGAGCUAUCACGUGUGGAGAUCAAUGGCUUUCAAGCCAAAUGAUCAAUCUUAUGGCCACAUUCAUGGCAUAGUUUGUUCAAAUGAUCUCAUAUUGUGCACAAUAGUGAAUAUUGGAAUGGCAAACAAUGUUGUCUAAGGAAGUUUUCAUUUUCGUUGGAAGAAAAAACCAUUUUCCAUUUUUCGAGUGCCCGAAAGGAGGUUUUUCUGUGAAGGAACUACCAAAUAAUUGUUGCAAAAUUGGACCAAAUCAUUUUUAUAAAAUACUAGGCCAUAUUUAAUGCACAAUUGACAAAAUGGUUGGGUGUAAAUUUUUUUGAUCCACCUCUCGUGAAAAAGACAAAUUUCCGCCGAUUCAGCUGGAAGCGGGUCAAAUUUGAACUGCAGGUGCCUCAUAGUUUGCUAUUUAUUUUUUCCAAAAAUCAUUUCUAGUUACAUAAGGACCUAUUUAAUCAUAAAUACAUGGUUUGGUGGCGAUACGUCGAGGUUUGGGCGGUGGCUGAGGGCCCCAACUCUAAAGCGCGUAAACUCGCAUGCCCGUCGCGUGGUCACCGUGUGACCGUAAUGUUGCCAUGUGUUCUGGGUGGCCUAGGCAUGUCUAGUGGGUUGGGCACUCCCCAGGUUGGUGCUAGGAAUAAAUUUACAAUAUAAGAUUCUCACGAGGAGACCGAUCGAUGCUCAAACAUGAAUUAGCAGCCAAGUGUUUGAUUAGCGGUACGGGAAAUGCACAUGGCCAAUGGGCGUGAGUUUUGGCUGAGGAUGAUCAUCUACUAAGGAGAAUGUCUUCACAAAUUUUGAUCUCAAAAGGAGGAUCCUAGGUGGUACUUGCUUUGCAAAGUACCACGCUGGACAAAAAUAUGAAUGUUGAAGUUGGGCUCAAAGUAAUGAAUGGAGUGAGCUGAAAUUUUGUGGAGGAUGGUUAUUUGGUCAUAGGAAAGCAUUGUAGAAAAUUGAUACCAUUUGGACAUGCCAAAGUAGUACUUCCUUCACAAUGCUCUUCUAUGGACAGAAACUUGGGAAAACUAGUGAGAGAGAUUGGAUGAAUGAAAUGAGCUCAAAAUUGGUGCAGGUAAGUUACUUAGGCAUGGUCAUGCGCUGGUAAAUUUUCAGAUCAUUUGGGUAAGCCUAGCUAGUACUUACUUCACAAAGCUUCUCUCGAGGUAGAAACUUUGGAAAUUUCCCGAGAAAGAUUUACUAGGAAAAUUGAGCUGAAUAUUAUCAUGUGGCAAUGAUUUGGGUAUGGAAGAGUGUCCGAAAAGUUUGAGGGUAAUAGGAGGGGUCUAUAUAACACUUGCUUUGCAACGUGCCAAUUUGGCCAUAAAAUAUAAAUUGAACUUGGGCUCACAUAGAUGAUUUUACUCAGCUGCAAUUUGGAGGAGGGUGAUAAUUUGGGCAUAUGAAGGAACUCUAUAAAUUUCAUGUCAUUUACAGAUAUAAAAAAGGUACUUCCUUCACAAUGCUUCUAGGUGGACAAAAACUUUGGAAAUUUGCCGAAGAAGAUUUGCUAGGCAAAUGGAGCUGAAUUUUGUCAUGCGGUAAUGAUUUGGAUAGGAAAGAGUGCCCAAAAAUUCCGAGGGCAAUCAAGAAUAUAUAAAUAGCACUUUCUUCAUAAAGUGUUGUUGUGAACAGAAUAGGAAAAUGAAUAUUGUUGAAUUAGUUUUGAACUAGGCAAGGAAGGAUUUUUACAUAUUUGAUGAAGAUAUGCCCCAAAGAAUUUAUGAGAUUUUUUGGGGAAUUUAGGGAAUGAUAGUAAUAUAGGUUGCUUCACAACCUAGGGCAAAAACUGCCACAUGGACAUGACACAUAGGCAAAACUGAUGAGAUGGCGCCUAGUCAUCACAACCCACCACAAUCUACAAGGCUAUGACCAUCUAUAUUGGUCAUUAACAACUAGAAAUAAGGCAGCGGACUAGCACUGUUUGCUUUGUGACCAUUUCGUGUAAGGAAAUUACGACCUUUCUGACCAAAAUGGUCACAAUGGUUUAGGGUUUGAAGCCCCCUGAACAGCUUUUGACCAAUUGGUCUAAAAUGGUCAUAAAUUUAUGACCAAUUCUUCGAGGGUCACUGACAGAAGGUCAUAAGUUGACAUAUUUCUUGUAGUGGAUCGAGGAUAACAAGAUGGGGUUUAUUUCAUAUUGCAUGAAUUUAUCUCUCUACAUCAUGUCAUCUUGCUUAAGGCGUUACUAUGUUUUUAACUUAAUACUCUAGAUGCAUGAUGGAUAGCGGUCGAUGAGUGGAGUAAUAGUAGUAGAUGCAGAAUCGUUUCGGUCUACUUGUCACAGACGUGAUGCCUAUAUACAUGAUCAUGCCUAGAUAUUCUCAUAACUAUGCUCAAUUCUGUCAAUUGCUCAACAGUAAUUUGUUCACCCACCGUAGAAUACUUAUGCUCUUGAGAGAAGCCACUAGUGAAACCUAUGGCCCUCGGGUCUAUUCUCAGCAUAUCAAUCUCCAUCACUUUAAUCUUGCUUUGCUUUUUUACUUUGCUUUUACUUUUUACUUUGCAUCUUUAUACCAAAAAUACCAAAAAUAUUAUAUCUAUCAGAUCUCACUCUCGUAAGUGACCGUGAAGGGCUUGACAACCCCUAAUCGCAUUGGUUGCGAGUAGCUAUCGCUUUGUGCAGGUACGAGGGACUUGAGCGUGGGCUCCUACUGGAUUGAUACCUUGGUUCUCAAAAACCGAGGGAAAUACUUACGCUACUCUGCUGCAUCAUCCCUUCCUCUUCGGGGAAAACCAACGCAAGCUCAAGACGUAGCAAGAAGGAUUUCUGGCGCCGUUGCCGGGGAGUCUACGCAAAAAGUCAACAUACCAAGUACCCAUCACAAUCCCUAUCUCUCGCAUUACAUUAUUUGCCAUUUGCCUCUCAUUUUCCUCUCCCCCCAAUUCACCCUUGCCGUUUUAUUCGCCCUCUCUCUCCAUAUCCUCCCUCUCUAUUUGCCCGUUUGUUUUUGUUUGCUCGUGUGUUAGAUUGCUUGCUUGUCGCGAUGGCUCAAGAUACUACUAAAUUGUGUGACUUCACCAAUACCAACAAUAAUGAUUUCCUUAGCACUCUAAUUGCUCCUCUUACCGAUGCUGAAUCUUGUGAAAUUAAUACAGCUUUGUUGAAUCUUGUUCUGAAAGAUCAAUUCGCCGGCCUUCCUAGUGAAGAUGCCGCUACUCAUCUGAAUAGCUUCGUUGAUUUAUGUGAUAUGCAAAAGAAAAAGAUGUCAAUAAUGAUGUCGUUAAAUUGAAGCUAUUUCCUUUUUCGCUUAGAGAUUGUACUAAAGCUUGGUUUUCGUCUUUGCCUAAGAAUAGUAUUGAUUCAUGGAACAAGUGCAAAUAUGCUUUUAUCUCUAAGUAUUUUCCUCCCGCUAAGAUCAUCUCUCUUAGGAACGAUAUUAUGAACUUUAAACAACUUGAUCAUGAACAUGUUGCACAAGCUUGGGAGAGCAUGAAAUUAAUGAUACGUAAUUGCCCUACUCAUGGUUUGAAUUUGUGGAUGAUUAUACAAAAAAAUUAUGCCGGAUUGAAUUUUUCUUCUAGAAAUCUUUUAGAUUCGGCCACGGGAGUCACUUUUAUGGAAAUCACUUUAAUAGAUGCUACUAAACUCCGAGAUAAUAUUAUGGUUAAUUAUUCUCAAUGGCAUACUGAAAGAUCUUCUAAUAAAAAAGUGCAUGCGAUAGAAGAAAUUAAUGUGUUGAGUGGAAAGAUGGAUGAACUUAUGAAAUUAUUUGCUACUAAGAGUGUUUCUUCUGAUCCUAAUGAUAUGCCUUUGUCUACUUUGAUUGAGAAUAACAAUGAAUCUAUGGAUGUGAAUUUUGUUGGUAGGAAUAAUUUUGGUAACAAUGCUUAUAGAGGGAAUUUUAAUCCUAGGCCAUAUCCUAGUAAUCCUUCUAAUAACGAUGGUAAUUCCUACAACAAAUCUUAUGGAAAUUAUAAUAAGAUGCCCUCUGAAUUUGAGAAUAGUGUUAAAGAGUUUAUGAAUUCACAAAAAAAUUUAAUGCUUUGCUUGAGGAGAAAUUGCUUAAAGUUGAUGAUUUGGCUAGAAACGUUGAUAGAAUUUCUCUUGAGGUUGAUUCUUUAAAGCUUAGAUCUAUUCCUCCUAAGCAUGAUAUCAAUGAGUCUCUCAAAGCCAUGAGAAUUUCCAUUGAUGAGUGCAAGAAAAGAACCGCUAGGAUGCGUGCUUCCAAAGAUGCCUUUAUUAAAGCGUGUUCUUCCAAUACCUAUGAAAAUCAAGAUGAAGAUGUAAAGGUUAUUGAUGUGUCUCCUAUUAAAUCUUUAUUUUGCAAUAUGAAUCUUGAUGAAACUGAAUAUGAUCUUCCUUUACCUAGAAGGCGUUCUAAAAAUUUGGAGUAUUUAGAUCUUAAUAAUGAAUUUGAUGAAAGUGGGAUUGAAACAAAUAAAAAUCUAGAUGUUUCUAAACCCACUAUAUUGGAUUUCAAGGAAUUUAAUUAUGAAAGUUGCUAUUUAAUUGAUUGUAUUUCCUUGUUGUAAUCCGUGCUAAAUUCUCCACAUGCUUAUAGUCAAAAUAAAGCCUUCACCGAACAUAUUGUUGAUGCCUUGAUGCAAUCUUAUGAAGAAAAACUUGAGUUGAAAGUUUCUAUCCCUAGAAAACUCUAUGAUGAGUGGGAACCAACUAUUAAAAUUAAAAUUAAAGAUCAUGAGUUUUAUGCUUUGUGUGAUUUGGGUGCUAGUGUCUCUACUAUUCCCAAGACUUUGUAUGAUUUACUAGAUUUCCGUAAUUUUGAUGAUUGCUCUCUAAACUUGCAUCUUGCGGAUUCCACUAUUAAGAAACCUAUGGGAAGGAUUAAUGAUGUUCUUAUUGUUGCAAAUAGGAAUUAUGUGCCUAUAGAUUUCAUUGUUCUUUAUAUAGAUUGCAAUCCUUCUUACCCAAUUAUUCUUGGUAGACCUUUCCUUAGAAAGGUUGGUGCGAUUAUUGAUAUGAAGGAAGGGAAUAUUAGAUUUCAAUUGCCAUUAAAAAAGGGCAUGGAACACUUUCCAAGAAAGAAAAUAAAAUUACCAUAUGAAAUUAUCAUGAGAUCCACUUAUGGAUUGCCUACCAAAGAUGGCAAUACCUAGCUCUAUCCUCGCUUUUAUGCCUAGCUAGGGGCGUUAAACGAUAGCGCUUGUUGGGACGCAACCCAAUUUUAUUUUUAUUCCUUACCUUAUGCUCCUGUUUAGUAAUAAAUAAAUUAUUUAGCCUCUGUUUUGGUUGUGUUCUUUUGUGUUUAAUUAGUGUUUGUGCCAAGUAGAACCGCUGGGAAGACUUGGGGAAAGUCUUGUUGAACUUGCUGUAAAAAACAGAAACUUUAGCGCUCACGAGAACUGCUGUAAUUUUUAUUUGAAGAGUGAUACUUAGUUAAUUCUUUUUGCAGAUGAUUAAUAGAUAAAUUCCUCACGUCCAGAAAUUUAUUUUAGAAUUUUUGGGGUUCCAGAUCUUGCGCUAGCUACAAAUUAUGACAGAUUGUUCUGUUUUUGACAUAUUCUGUUUUUCGUUGUUGUUUGCUUAUUUUGAUGAAUCUAUGGCUAGUAAAAUAGUUUAUAAUCCAUAGAGAAGUUGGAAUACAGUAGGUUUAACACAAAUAUAAAUAAAUAAUGAGUUCAUUACAGUACCUUGAAGUGGUAUUUUGUUUUCUUUCGCUAACGGAGCUCACGAGUUUUCUAUUUUGAGUUUUGUGUUGUGAAGUUUUCAAGUUUUGGGUGAAUUCUUUUGAUGGAUCAUGGAACAAGGAGUGGCAAGAGACUAAGCUUGGGGAUGACCAUGGAACCCCCAAGAUAAUCCAAGAACACCAAGAAGUCAAAGCUUGGGGAUUCCCCGGAAGGAAUCCCCUCUUUCGUCCACUUCCAUCGGUAAUUUACUUGGAGCUAUAUUUUUAUUCACCAACAUGAUAUGUGUUUUGCUUGGAGCGUCUUGUAUUAUUUGUGUCUUUGUGUUUUAGUAUGACACAAUCAUCCUUGUUGUACACACCUUUUGAGAGAGCCAUACAUGAAUUAAAAUUUGAUAGAAUACUCUAUGUGCUUCACUUAUAUCUUUUGAGCUAAGUAGUUUUGCUCUAUGUGCUUCACUUAUAUCUUUUAAGCUAGAUAAUUUUGCUCUAUGUGCUUCACUUAUAUCUUUUGAGCGUUAUAAUUUUUCUCUAUGUGCUUCACUUAGAUCUUUUAGAGCACGGUGGUGGAUUCAUUUUAAAGAAACUAUUGAUCUCUCAUGCUUCACUUAAAUUAUUUUGAGAGUCUCUUAAUAGCAUGGUAAUUUGCUUAAUAAUAAUAUGCUUGGUAUUCAAGAUUUGUGAAAGUUUCUUUUGAGUGUGUUGAAUACUAAGAACAGAUUGAAGCAUGAUAAUUGUUUUGAGAUAUGGAAGUGAUAAUAUUAAGGUCAUGCUAGUUGAGUAGUUGUGAAUUUAAAGAAUACUUGUGUUAAAGUUUGUGAUUCCCGUAGCAUGCACGUAUGGUGAACCGUUAUGUAACGAAGUCGGAGCAUGAUUUGUUUAUUGAUUGUCUUCCUUAUGAGUGGCGGUCGGGGACGAGCGAUGGUCUUUUCCUACCAAUCUAUCCCCUAGUAGCAUGCGCGUAAUACUUUAUUUUGAUAACUUCUAGAUUUUUGCAAUAAGUAUAUGAGUUCUUUAUGACUAAUGUUGAGUCCAUGGAUUAUACGCACUCUCACUCUUCCACCUUUCCUAGCCUCUCUAAUACCGCGCACCUUUCGCCGGUAUCAUACACCUACCAUAUACCUUCCUCAAAACAGCCACCAUACCUACCUAUUAUGGCAUUUCCAUAGCCAUUCCGAGAUAUAUUGCCAUGCAACUUUCCACCGUUCCGUUUAUCAUGACACACUCCAUCAUUGUCAUAUUGCAUAUCCCGGUACACCGCCGGAUGCAUUCACAUAGAGUCAUAUUUUGUUCUAAGUAUCGAGUUGUAAUUGUUGAGUUAUAUAAGAAAAAUAAAAGUGUGAUUAUCAUCAUUAUUAGAGCAUUGUCCCAGUGAGGAAAGAAUGAUGGAGACUAUGAUUCCCCCAUAAGUCGGGAUGAGACUCCGGACGAAAAAAAGAGGCCAAAGAAGCCCAAAUAAAAAGAGGCCAGAAAAAAGAGAAAAGGCCCAAACAAAUAAAUUAUAUAAAUAAUAAAAUAAUGAGGGAAAAAGAGAGAAGGGACAAUGUUACUAUCAUUUUACCACACUUGUGCUUCAAAGUAGCACCAUGAUCUUCAUAGUAGAGAGUCUCUCAUGUUAUCACUUUCAUAUACUAGUGGGAAGUUUUCAUUAUAGAACUUGGCUUGUAUAUUCCAAUGAUGGGCUUCCUCAAAAAUUGCCCUAGGUCUUCGUGAGCAAGCAAGUUGGAUGCACACCCACUUAGUUUCUUUUUGAGCUUUCAUAUACUUAUAGCUCUAGUGCACCUGUUGCAUGGCAAUCCCUACUCACUGACAUUGAUAUCUAUUGAUGGGAAUCUCCAUAGCCCGUUGAUACGCCUAGUUGAUGUGAGACCAUCUUCUCCUUUUUGUCUUCUCCACAACCACCAUUCUAUUCCACCUAUAGUGCUAUAUCCAUGGCUCACGCUCAUGUAUUGCGUGAAGAUUGAAAAAGUUUUGAAAAAGUUAGAGUAUGAAACAAUUUCUUGGCUUGUCAUCAAGGUUGUGCAUGAUUUAAAUACUUUGUGUGGUGAAGAUGGAGCAUAGCCAGACUAUAUGAUUUUGUAGGGAUAACUUUCUUUGGCCAUGUUAUUUUGAGAAGACAUAAUUACUUUAUUAGUAUGCUUGAAGUAUUAUUAUUUUUAUGUCAAUAUAAACUUUUGUCUUGAAUCUUUCUAUCUGAAUAUUCAUACCACAAUUAAGAAGAUUUGCAUUGAAAUUAUGCCAAGUAGCACUUCGCAUCAAAAAUUCUCUUUUUAUCAUUUACCUACUCGAGGACGAGUAGGAAUUAAGUUUGGGGAUGCCUGAUACGUCUCCAACGUAUCUAUAAUUUUUGAUUGCUCCAUGCUAUAUUAUCUACUGUUUUGGACUAUACUGGGCUUUAUUUUCCACUUUUAUAUUAUUUUUGGGACUAACCUAUUAAUCGGAGGCCCAGCCCAGAAUUGCUGUUUUUUUGCCUAUUUCAGUGUUUUGAAGAAACGGAAUAUCAAACGGAGUCCAAACGGAAUAAAAUCUUCGGGAACGUGAUUUUCACACCGAACGUGAUCCAGGAGACUUGGACCCUGCUCCAAGGAACAAAAGAGGCGGUCACGAGGGUGGGGGCGCCCCCCCUAUGGGGCGCCCCCUAUCUCGUGGGCCCCUCAUUGCUCCUCCGGCGUACUUCUUCCUCCUAUAUAUACACACGUACCCCCAAACAAUCAGAACAGGAGCCAAAAACCUAAUUCCACCACCGCAACUUUCUGUAUCCACGAGAUCCCAUCUUGGGGCCUGUUCCGGAGCUCCGCCGGAAGAGGGCCGUCAUCACGGAGGGCUUCUACAUCAUCCUAGCCCCUCCGAUGAAGUGUGAGUAGUUUACCUUAGACCUUCGGGUCCAUAGUUAGUAGCUAGAUGGCUUCUUCUCUCUCUUUGAAUCUCAAUACAAAGUUCUCCCCCUCUCUUGUGGAGAUCUAUUCAAUGCAAUCUUCUUUUUGCGAUGUGUUUGUUGAGACCGAUGAAUUGUGGGUUUAUGAUCAAGUCUAUCUAUGAAUAAUAUUUGAAUCUUCUUUGAUUUCUUUUAUGUAUGAUUGGUUAUCUUUGCAAGUCUCCUCGAAUUAUCCGUUUGGUUUGGCCAACUAGAUUGGUAGUUCUUGCCAUGGGAGAAGUGCUUAGCUUUGGGUUCGAUCUUAUGGUGUCGUUACCCAGUGACAGAAGGGGCAGCAAGGCACGCAUUGUAUCGUUGCCAUCGAGGAUAACAAGAUGGGGUUUAUUUCAUAUUGCAUGAAUUUAUCUCUCUACAUCAUGUCAUCUUGCUUAAGGUGUUACUAUGUUUUUAACUUAAUACUCUAGAUGCAUGCUGGAUAGCGGUCGAUGAGUGGAGUAAUAGUAGUAGAUGCAGAAUCGUUUCGGUCUACUUGUCACGGACGUGAUUCUUAUAUACAUGAUCAUGACUAGAUAUUCUCAUAACCAUGCUCAAUUCUGUCAAUUGCUCAACAGUAAUUUGUUCACCCACCGUAGAAUACUUAUGCUCUUGAGAGAAGCCACUAGUGAAACCUAUGGCCCCCGGUUCUAUUCUCAGCAUAUCAAUCUCCAUCACUUUAAUCUUGCUUUGCUUUUUACUUUGAUUUUACUUUUUACUUUGCAUCUUUAUACCAAAAAUACCAACAAUAUUAUAUCUAUCAGAUCUCACUCUCGUAAGUGACCAUGAAGGGCUUGACAACCCCUAAUCGCGUUGGUUGCGAGUAGCUAUCGCUUUGUGCAGGUACGAGGGACUUGAGCAUGGGCUCCUACUGGAUUGAUACCUUGGUUCUCAAAAACUGAGGGAAAUACUUACGCUACUCUGCUGCAUCAUCCCUUCCUCUUCGGGGAAAACCAACGCAAGCUCAAGACGUAGCAUGCCUCAGACACCUCACACUUAGUUACCUUAACAAUCCCUGUAGAUGUAUUAUGUGGUUCAUUAGGAAUCUCCCUCGCACUAGGAGACUCAAAAAACAUUAGCUCAGAACAGUAGACUCCAUAAAUGGUGAUACUCGGCAUCUGAUCUCGCAAAAUAGGGCAUGCCCCGGAGUCAUGCACCGGCUUAAGACAAGUAUCACAGAGCUCAAUCUCACACUCAGCAAUAAAGUGACCUCUCUCACCACAAUGGUAGCACAACAUCUUUUCCAUUUUUCGAGCCCACAUGAAGGCUCUCUCCUCCUCCGCCUUGUGAAUAGCCCCGGCAGCCUCCAUCUCUAUGGACUCUGGCAGCGACACGUCCGCAGACGCGAGAGCAGAUACCACUUCCAUAGCCUGCCCUGAAAGCUCCAACUCCUAGCCGGUAACUUCGGCCACCGGAUCCACCGCGACCGGAGGUGGGGGCUGGCGGUAGCGGUUCCUGCCACCGCGACCACCACGACCCCCACGAUGCCCCCGGUAACCACCUCGCCGCCUGUAGUCGGGGCCAGAUGCCCCCUCGACAAAACCUCCAGGCGGACCGUAGAAAGGCCGUUCGACUGACCCAUCUCCCUGCCAUGCGUAGCCACGCUCGCCAGCCAUAGACGAUGAGCCACGAUGUUGUCUAGCCCCAUAAGCAUUGAAACCAUCAUCACCCCACUUUCCUUGGGGCGGGCCAUUGCCACCGUGAUUAGACGUCGCCCGAGCCGCAGUCACACCUCCCUCUCCCGCAACAAGUAACAUCGGUGGGGUCUGAACAGGCACCGCGCGCUUCUGAGGUGGUCGCACCACAUAAUGCGGCGGAGGCGCCGUUUGAGGUGGCAACCACGGCACCAUAGCCGGCGAGGGCGGUCUCUGUGGAACAGCUCCGCGCCCCAUUGGCGUGGGCGUUGGCGGCCUCGGCAGAGCAGCCCCGCGUCCCGCUGGCGCCGGCGUCGGCGGCCUCGGCGGAGCAGCCCCGCGCCUCGCUGGCACCGGCGUCGGCGGCCUCGGCUGAGCUGCACCACGCCCCGCAGCCACCGGCAAAGAAGCCGCAGGCGUCGGAGGCCCGAUCCCCUGAGCAUACCGCCCGGCGGCCGGCAUCGCCCCCACCUGCAUAAGCUGCUGCCCUGACGUGGUCCCACGAUCGGCCACAACCGCAGGCCGUGGUCCCUGAGGCGCUCCACGACCAGCCGGCAGCGCCGGCCGCUGGCCAGGAGUCGCGCCGCCACCUCGGGCCUCCAGCGCCGACCCGGCGAUCGACUGGUUGUUGGGGCCGGCAGCCGCCACAUCUUCCCAACCCGCCAUCAGUGGAGGAAUGCGAGCAGCUCUCCCCGGACCAUAGCGACGGAAACCGGAAGAACCCCCGCGGCGCCGUGACCUAGGGCACAUGCGACGGCGGCCAAACGCAAAAAGACACCCGACCACACGUACGCAUGCACGAGGUAACUCAUUAGUCACUCGUGGAUCCUGAGGAGUCCGGGUUAGGCUGGGCCACAAACCCAGCUAACACCGGCCCAAUUUGAGUUGCCGCGCGAUGGGCCUCAUACCCAUCGGCAGGCCUCCCCAACUCCACCACGGCCCGAUUGAGUCCACCUAGGCCCAAGAGCGAAUUCAAACGCUUAGCCCUGUCGGCUCGGAUCUCGAUCGGACCUCCGGUAGCCUCGAUUUCUUUCUUCUUGUGACAACCUUCCAUGCCCCGGCCUCAAGAAAAUCAGACAAGGUAGGUUUAGGGCAUCUCCAGCCGUUGGCCCCCCAUGACGCAUAAAAAUCGCCCCCUGGGGGCGAGCCGGCGAUACAAUCGGCGCUGGGGGCGGUUUUGCGCCCAGUCGUCGCCCUCAGCUCGCCCCCAGGCGAUGAAAUUGGCCCACUUUGCAGCCCAAUUUCGGCGAAUAAAGGGCCCAUAUAGGCGAGAAUAGGCCCAUAUUCGGCGUGGUUUCGCCGUGUCUCGGCGUUCAAUUAUCAACACAAUUAUUUCUUAUCACAUAUUUCAUCACAGAAAAAUCAAAUACUUCAACAAAAUAGUACAACAACAAAUAGUUCAAUACAAAUUAUAUAGUUCAACAAAUAAAAACUCGUAUUUCAUCACACGGCGUCCCCCUUGAGCCUCCAUAGGUGCUCAAUCAGAUCUUUCUGCAAUUGAUGAUGCACCUGUGGGUCUCGGAUCUCCUGACGCAUACUGAGAUAGGCAGUCCAAGUUGCCGGUAGCUGGUGAUCAACUUCGGCUAGAGGACCCUGCCUGUAGUAUGGUUCAGUGUCAAACACUGGGUCUUCUUGCUCGCUCUCGAUGAUCAUGUUGUGCAAGAUGACACAGCAAGUCAUCAUCUCCCACAUUUGAUCUUUGGACCAGGUCUGAGCGGGGUACCGAACAACAGCAAAUCGAGAUUGGAGCACACCAAAUUCCCGCUCGACAUCCUUCCUGCAAGCCUCCUGAAGCUUCGCAAACCAGGCGUUCUUGCCUCCUGCCACAGGGUUUGAGAUUGUCUUCACAAAUGUCGACCAUCUCGGAUAGAUGCCGUCAGCUACAUAGUACCCCUUGUUGUAUUGGUGCCCAUUGAUCUCGAAGUUCACCGGAGGAGAAUGGCCCUCAACGAGCUUGGCAAAAAUAGAAGAGCACUGCAACACGUUGAUGUCAUUGUGAGUUCCUGGCAUACCAAAGAAGGAGUGCCAAAUUCAGAGGUCCUGUAUGGCUACCGCCUCAAGCACCACACUGCAACCGCCUUUGGCGCCUUUGUACAUCCCCUGCCAACCAAAUGGGCAAUUCUUCCAUUUCCAAUGCAUGCAGUCGAUGCUUCCAAGCAUCCCAGGAAAUCCUCUUGCUGCAUUCUGGGCUAGGAUCCGAGCAGUAUCUUCCACAUUGGGUGUUCUCAAGUAUUGUGGCCCAAACACUGCCACCACUGCCUGACAGAACUUGUAGAAACACUCUAUGCUGGUGGACUCGUCCAUGCGCCCAUAGUCCUCGAGUGAAUCACCGGGAGCUCCAUAUGCAAGCAUCCUCAUCGCUGUCGUGCACUUCUGGAUGGAGGUGAAUCCAAGAGCGCCAGUGCAAUCCAUCUUGCACUUGAAGUAGUUUUCGAACUCUCGGAUGGAAUUCACAAUCAGCUCAUCCGAUAACGGCGCCGAAAUGUUCUCUCGCCAUGAAGUGGAGCAUCGGCGAAGUAGUCGGAGUAGAGCAUGCAGUAGCCUUGGAGACGAUGCCGGUUCUUUGCUUUCAUCCGCCCCGGCGCCGAGCCACCUCGCCCCGGCUUUUCAUUACUCGCCAGCAGCUGGGCGAGGGCGGCGAGCACCACGAGAUGCUCUUCUUCCUGGACGUCGGCCGCGGCUUCCUCCUCCAGCAGCGCGGCGAGCUCUUCCUCCUCAUCCGAGUCCAUCGCCGAGGCAGGCAAAACGCCGAACACCUUGCGCUCGGUGGGCGUGUACCCGCCGUUAAACCGCGCCUCCGCGGCUGGAAACGGCGGCCGAAAACGCCCAGCUGCUGUGGGUGGGGCUGCCGCGGCGAAGCGCUGCUAUUUUCCGGCGGGGAAUGGCUAUCUAGCGGAGUAGGGCGGCGGCCGUCGCCGGGAUAUAGCUAGUGGUGGCCGAGGGCGCGGGGGGUGCGAGGCGAGUCUGGAGAAGAAAACCUUGACUUUUCCCCUGUCGGUGUGGGCCAGGCGUGCUUUUCCCUAGCACCGGAGCCCCCAACUGCUCCCUAGCGCGCCGGAUUCGGCCUGUGACCGCCGGGCGGAAAAAAAGGUCCGAACCGGCGAUUUUCGGCGUCCUGGGGGCGCGACUGGGCCGUUUUUUCGGCGCCGGCGCUGAAAAAGUGGCUUGGGGGCCUGUUGGGGGCGCGGCUGGAAAUGCCCUUAGGGAGACAUACCUUCGGAAAUGGACCACGCCAAGGCCGGAUCGCCGUCGCCGUACGCCGGUGAACCACCCGGCGGACAAUCUCAACCGCAUCCGCACAUCCCUGCUGGGCCGGGUCAUCCAUGAGGAUCGCCAAAUCCACUAGGUUCGCCGCAUCUUGCUCCGAGUAGCCGAUGCGAAGUGCUUCGCAGAUCGCAUCAGAUGGUGUAAGAGAACUCACCGGUGACAGGUCGCCGCCGGGGUCCCCGUCGUCGUCUUCCUCGUCGCCGGCGUCGCUGCAUAGGGCCCAAAAGCGGCCUCCUACCCGCUGCCCUCCGAAGGGCGCGGAUCCACCCGGCGUCGCCCGCGUCGCCAUCACCCAAUCUCCUUAAUACUGUUCUGUGACGUACUGAGAUAAUUAGAUGCAGGGACAAAUCCUACUUCCUCGCCCCGCCGCCCUCCCGGUUAAGCAGAGCCGACGAGCAUGAAUUUCGGCGCCCUCUAUUUUGGCAUGGUUGGGCCCGGGUAACUGACCACUGCAACGGGCUCCUCCUCCUCUAUAACGAAAGACAGGACGAUACAUACGUGUGCAACCCGGCUACAAUACGGUGCGUUCCCCUGCCCCCCUCACCGCAGACGCAGAUGCGGUCGGGCCGCAGAGGAAUCGAGGGCACGUUCCUUGCUUUCGGCCCGGGUGUGUCACUGCACUACAAGGUGUACAAGCUGCUCAAGGAUCGUGAUACCUACUCUACUCAUAAGCCAUCGUCCAAGGAGCCAAGGGCCAAGGUGGUGUACUCAGCAGCGGUGUUCUCGUCACAAUAUAGACAAUGGAAGUUGCGCAAGUUUAAUCCAGGACGUUGCGCCCCUGGGCACCUCCACAAUGUGAAGGGUUCUGCAUGUGAUAGUAAUUGGCCGUCGGCUCGCGAGAAUGGUGUCGUCAUUAUCCUGCACUACUCGAAGAUGACGUACGAUAUGGUUCAGCUCCCGGGAGAUGUCUACAACUACGCAGGGAAGACGUAUCAGCUACCUCGAAGGUCCCUCUUGGCGAACUAUGAGAACUAGUUACCUCGAAGAUGACGUACGCAGGCAAGAUCGUGCGAUGACCAACUUGGGUGGACGCUAGCACACGAGGCUAACGUCAGCCCGCACGUGUAUAUGAUGCGGCAUAACUCACGGACACUAGAACAAAGGGUUAGAUGGGAGAUGGUCGCAAGCAGCAAAGCACCUGUCAGCUUGUUCGAACAAAUUAGUAGCAGCAAGGAAAGCAAAGAAGAAGAAGAAGAAGAAGAAGAAGAAGAAGAAGAAGAAGAAGAAGAACUAUAUAUGGAACGAGGACAAGGACAAUUUCGUCGAAGUUGAUAAAAGUGUCGCAGGUCAAAGGAAACUGGAGCAGACCUACGGGGAAAAAAAUUAUAUGAGACCAGGUCUCACGGUUAGCAGGUGAGACCCGUCCUGAUGAAUGNNNNNNNNNNNNNNNNNNNNNNNNNNNNNNNNNNNNNNNNNNNNNNNNNNNNNNNNNNNNNNNNNNNNNNNNNNNNNNNNNNNNNNNNNNNNNNNNNNNNNNNNNNNNNNNNNNNNNNNNNNNNNNNNNNNNNNNNNNNNNNNNNNNNNNNNNNNNNNNNNNNNNNNNNNNGUGGGGGAUGCUUUGUGAUUUGUGAAUGCCAUAUGUCAUUCAUCAGGAUGGGUCUCGCGUGAGACCUGGUCUCAUAGAAUUCUUUUCCAACCUAAGGUGGUAUCAUUGGACUCCAUCCGCACAAAGACAUGCUCCUCCUUGAUAUGGCGGCAAAGCAGUUGCAUACCACAUUAACCCCUCAAGAAUGCAAUAUUUAUGCCAGUUGCUUUUAAGAGAACCCAUGGACCGUGAUGCUGGCAUCAAAAGUGCCUUUCCUUACCGCCCUUGCUACACGGACGUGCUCCUGGCAAGAAAAAUACCAUGUCCUUCCAAUGUCCUUAAUUUGUGGCACCGUCAUAGAAGAUGCUAGCAGUACAACCAUCGGUGACUCUCAAGUGAAUCUAGUGAAAAUUACGGAAAUUCGCAGGGGCACGCACCUGCCAAGACUGCUGCCCGCUUGAUUUGCCUCGUGAUUCACGCAGUAGUUCAAAGUGUUAAUGACGACACUUACAAUUUUUGUAUAUUAAACUGUUAAGUUUCAACAAGUUCAGAGAUAUAAUUUUAAGCAAUUUUUGCUGUCGGUCGUAGACAAAAAAUAAUUGAUUCUAAAAAGUAAUUGAUUCUAGCUCGUACUAAGUUUCAACAUUGGAACUUAACAUAUUUUCUAAAAAGUCAUCAAAAUAUAUUCAGAAUGAUUCUUAUUUGAAAACUCUAGUUAUGAGGAGCACGAAUAUGAAAACAUAACUAAAUUUGGAUUUUUUUUGUUUGAAAGAUAUAGAAUUUUGAAAAUCAGGAGCCAAAAUAAAGAGCCGGCACCAGGGACCUCGGUGCUCCUGUACUUGGGUGCCGCAAAUCCUCUUCCGUGAAAUUCGUCAAUCACUCAUACAAGUCUUUAUUGUACUUUCAACUGCUUUUCUAUACACCAGGAUAGUGUUUUAUUGAACUUGAUGGGCACAAAUUUCAGGGAUCCUUGCCCGCUAAAUAUGUCUAGAAGCCGUGCAUUUGAGGCUCAACGGGAGCAAACUAUUAAAACAUAUAUGGUCACUUGUAAAGGAUGUUUGAGCUUUUAGAUGUUGGGCUCAACUAGUUGAUGACCAAUACCUCUGUCGGCUGAGGGUGUUCCUCUAAUAAGCGUCAUGGCCAUAUACAUGGACUAACAAUCAGGCGCACCCAACUCUGGAGAAACUGGACCGGAUUUUGAUAUCUGAAGACUGGGAAAAUCUCUUCCCUAUGGUUUCGGUUAGGAAAUUAGUUCGAGAAAUUUCUGACCAUAAACCAGUGCUGCUUUCUAGUGGGGAGGAAAGUAGAGAAGCUCCUAAACCUCGUGAGUUUCGUUUUAAUCUUGCCUGGAUUAAGGAUGAGAACUUCUUGCCUACUGUUAGUAGGAUCUGGGCUAGAAGGGUUCAGUCUUCUGACCCUAUUGAUAUCUUGAAUAUCAAACUUAAAAGAUUCAAAACCUACUUCAAAGGUUGGGGAUCGGAUAAAUAUGGCCACGACAAAAAAAGAAAAGAAGAGCUCCGGAUGGAGCUGGCCAUGCUAGAAGAGCUAGAAGAAGAUGGUCCCUUGUCCCCUGAGCUAUACAACAUCAAGGUUGAUGUUAGUACCGAGCUUCAUGACAUACUGGUGAAUGAGGAGAUAUAUUGGCUCCAACAGUCUCAUGAACGCUGGCUCUUAACACAGACUAUUAUCAUAAAAUUGCAAAUGGCCGAAAGAGGAAGAACACAAUCCACUCCCUUAAAGCUGGGGAUGCGGAGAUCGAGGGCACUGACAAUCUGAUUGCUCAUGCCACGGAGUAUUACAAAAAUAUGUUCGGACCCGGGUCCGGUAAUCUGUUCCACCUUGAUCCUGACACUUGGUCUGUUGAGGAAAAGCUCGAUGCUAGUGAUAAUGCUGAUUUGUGCCAUGAGUUCAUGGAGGAAGAUAUCAAGGAGGCGUUGUUCUCUAUGGCACAUAAUAGAGCCCCUGGCCCUGACAAUAUUCCUGUUGAAUUCUAUCAGGUAUGCUGGGAUAUCAUUAAAGAUGAUCUUGUGAGGCUUUUUGUGAGCUUUCAUAAUGGGACUUUGGAUGUUCAACGUCUUAACUAUGGGGUGAUCACCCUUUUGCCCAAGUCUUCGGGCGCGGAUAAAAUCCAGCAAUUUAGACCUAUAUGUCUCCUAAGAUGUCCAUAUAAGCUUAUUACUGAAGUUUUGGAUCGGCGAGUGGAGAGGUACGCUGAUAAGCUCAUUAGCUCGACCCAAAAUGCUUUUAUCAAGGGAAGAAGCAUUAUGGACGGGGUGUUGUUGCUGCAUGAAAUUUUGAAUUAUACCCAUGUGAAAAAGAGGGUGGGGGUCGUCUUGAAGCUCGACUUUGAGAAAGCGUACGAUAAGGUGAACUGGGAAUUUUUGUUGGAAUGUCAUAAGCUUCGUGGUUUUAGUGACACGUGGUGCAACUGGAUUAAACAUAUCCUACUCAAUGGUACAGUUAGUAUCAAACUUAAUAAUCAGGUCGGUCCUUAUUUCCAGAGUGCUAAGGGUGUUCGACAAGGGGAUCCCCACUCCCCUUUCCUGUUUAAUCUAGUUGUUGAUUGUCUUGCGAAGAUGAUCUCCAAUGCCCAAAAUAAUAACUUGCUGGUGGGUUUGGCUUCGGAUCUUAUUCCUAAUGGAGUUGCGGUGCUCCAGUAUGCAGACGAUACUAUUAUCUGUCUGGAACACGAUGUUGAUAAGGCAGUAAACCUGAAGUUGCUGCUGUACAUCUUCGAGCUUAUGUCUGGUCUUAAAGUGAACUAUCAGAAAAGUGAGAUCUUCACUGUGGGGGGCGAUGAGAGCACGAUGAAAUACUAUGCUGAGUUGUUUAACUGUGAUGUGGGUAGCUUCCCCAUCAAAUACCUCGGCAUGCCUGUUAGUUAUUCCACACUUAGAGAUUCUGAUUGGGAGUUCAUAGUGAAGGAAAUAUGCCCUAGAGGCAAUAAUAAAGUUAUUAUUUAUUUCCUUAUAUCAUGAUAAAAGUUUAUUAUUCAUGCUAGAAUUGUAUUAACCGGAAACAUAAUACAUGUGUGAAUACAUAGACAAACAGAGUGUCACUAGUAUGCCUCUACUAGACUAGCUUGUUAAUCAAAGAUGGUUAUGUUUCCUAACCAUGGACAAAGAGUUGUCAUUUGAUUAACAGGAUCACAUCAUUAGUUGAAUGAUCUGAUUGACAUGACCCAUUCCAUUAGCUUAGCACCCGAUCGUUUACUAUGUUGCUAUUGCUUUCUUCAUGACUUAUACAUGUUCCUAUGACUAUGAGAUUAUGCAACUCCCGUUUGCCAGAGGAACACUUUGUGUGCUACCAAACGUCACAACGUAACUGGGUGAUUAUAAAGGAGCUCUAUAGGUGUCUCCAAAGGUACAUGUUGGGUUGGCGUAUUUCAAGAUUAGGAUUUGUCACUCCGAUUGUCGGAGAGGUAUCUUUGGGCCCUCUCAGUAAUGCACAUCACUUAAGCCUUGCAAGCAUUGCAACUAAUGAGUUAGUUGCGCGAUGAUGUAUUACAGCACGAGUAAAGAGACUUGCCGGUAACGAGAUUGAACUAGGUAUAGGAUACCGACGAUCGAAUCUCGGGCAAGUAACAUACCGAUGACAAAUGGAACAACGUAUGUUGUUAUGCGGUCUGACCGAUAAAAGAUCUUCGUAGAAUAUGUAGGAGCCAAUAUGAGCAUCCAGGUUCCACUAUUGGUUAUUGAUCGGAGACGUGUCUCGGUCAUGUCUACAUUGUUCUCGAACCCGUAGGGUCCGCACGCUUAAGGUGACGAUGACAGUUAUAUUAUGAGUUUAUGCAUUUUGAUGUACCGAAGUUUGUUCGGAGUCCCGGAUGUGGUCACGGACAUGACGAGGAGUCUCGAAAUGGUCGAGACAUAAAAUUGAUAUAUUGGAAGCCUAUAUUUGGAUAUCGGAAGUGUUCCGGGUGAAAUCGGGAUUUUACCGGAGUACCGGGAGGUUACCGGAACCCCCAGGAGGUACAUGGGCCUUAAUGGGCCUUAGUGGAAGAAGAGGAGAGGCGGCCAGGGUUGGGCCGCGCGCCCCUCCCCCCUAGUCCGAAUAGGACAAGGAGAGAGGGGGCCGGCACCCCCUUCCUUCUCUCUCUCUCUUUUCCCACCUCGCGAAUCCUAUUCCAACUAGGAUUGGGGGAGAAGUCCUACUCCCGGGGGGAGUAGGACUCCUCCUGGCGCGCCCUAUGAUGGCCGGCCGGCCUCCCCCUCUUGAACCUUUAUAUACGGAGGCAGGGGCACCCCUAGACACAGAAGUUGAUCCACGUGAUCAUACUCUUAGCCGUGUGCGGUGCCCCCUUCCACCAUAGACCUCGAUAAUAUUGUAGCAGUGCUUAGGCGAAGCCCUGCGACGGUAGUGCAUCAAGAUCGUCACCACGCCGUCGUGCUGACGGAACUCUUCCCCGACACUUUGCUGGAUCGGAGUCCAGGGAUCGUCAUCGAGUUGAACGUGUGCUAGAACUCGAAGGUGCCGUAGUUUCGGUGCUUGAUCGGCCGGGCCGUGGAGACGUACGACUACAUCAACCAAACGCUUCCGUUGUCGAUCUACAAGGGUACGUAGAUCAUACUCUCCCCUCUCGUUGCUAUGCAUCACCAUGAUCUUGCGUGUGCGUAGGAAAUUUUUUGAAAUUACUACGUUCCCCAACAGUUGCAUCCGAGCCUAGGUUUUAUAUGUUGAUGUUAUAUGCACGAGUAGAACACAAGUGAGUUGUGGGCGAUAUAAGUCAUACUGCUUACCAGCAUGUCAUACUUUGGUUCAGCGGUAUUGUUGGACGAAGCGGCCCGGACCGACAUUACGCGUACGCUUACGCGAGACCGGUUCUCCCGAUGUGCUCUGCACAUAGGUGGCUUGCGGGUGACAGUUUCUCCAACUUUAGUUGAACCAAGUGUGGCUACGCCCGGUCCUUGCGAAGGUUAAAACAGCACCAACUUGACAAACUAUCGUUGUGGUUUUGAUGCGUAGGUAAGAUUGGUUCUUGCUUAAGCCCGUAGCAGCCACGUAAAACAUGCAACAACAAAGUAGAGGACGUCUAACUUGUUUUUGCAGGGCAUGUUGUGAUGUAAUAUGGUCAAGACAUGAUGCUAAAUUUUAUUGUAUGAGAUGAUCAUGUUUUGUAACCGAGUUAUCGGCAACUGGCAGGAGCCAUAUGGUUGUCGCUUUAUUGUAUGCAAUGCAAUCGCGCUGUAAUGCUUUACUUUAUCACUAAGCGGUAGCGAUAGUCGUGGAAGCAUAAGAUUGGCGAGAUGACAACGAUGCUACGAUGGAGAUCAAGGUGUCGCGCCGGUGACGAUGGUGAUCAUGAUGGUGCUUCGAAGAUGGAUAUCACAAGCACAAGAUGAUGAUGGCCAUAUCAUAUCACUUAUAUUGAUUGCAUGUGAUGUUUAUCUUGCUUUGAUUGACGGUAGCAUUAUAAGAUGAUCUCUCACUAAAUUAUCAAGAAGUGUUCUCCCUGAGUAUGCACCGUUGCGAAAGUUCUUCGUGCUGAGACACCACGCGAUGAUCGGGUGUGAUAGGCUCUACGUUCAAAUACAACGGGUGCAAAACAGUUGCACAUGCGGAAUAUUCAGGUUAUACUUGACGAGCCAAGCAUAUACAGAUAUGGCCUCGGAACACGGAGACCGAAAGGUCGAGCGUGAAUCAUAUAGUAGAUAUGAUCAACAUAGUGAUGUUCACCAAUGAAACUACUCCAUCUCACGUGAUGAUCGGACAUGGUUUAGUUGAUUUGGAUCACGUAAUCACUUAGAGGAUUAGAGGGAUGUCUAUCUAAGUGGGAGUUCUUUAAGUAAUAUGACUAAUUGAACCUAAAUUUAUCAUGAACUUAGUACCUGAUAGUAUCUUGCUUGUUUAUGUAUGAUUGUAGAUAAAUGGUUCGUGUUGUUGUUCCGUUGAAUUUUAAUGCGUUCCUUGAGAAAGCAAAGUUGAAAGAUGAUGGUAGCAAUUACACGGACUGGGUCCAUAACUUGAGGAUUAUCCUCAUUGCUGCACAGAAGAAUUACGUCCUGGAAGCACCGCUGGGUGCCAGGCCUGCUGCUGGAGCAACACUAGAUGUUGUGAACGUCUGGCAAAGCAAAGCUGAUGACUACUCGAUAGUUCAGUGUGCCAUGCUUUACGGCUUAGAACCGGGACUUCAACGACGUUUUGAACGUCAUGGAGCAUAUGAUAUGUUCCAGGAGUUGAAGUUAAUAUUUCAAGCAAAUGCCCGGAUUGAGAGAUAUGAAGUCUCCAAUAACUUCUAUAGCUGCAAGAUGGAGGAGAAUAGUUCUGUCAGUGAGCAUAUACUCAAAAUGUCUGGGUAUAAUAAUCACUUGAUUCAAAUGGGAGUUAAUCUUCCAGAUGAUUGCGUCAUUGACAGAAUUCUCCAAUCACUGCCACCAAGCUACAAGAGCUUCGUGAUGAACUAUAAUAUGCAAGGGAUGAAUAAGACUAUUCCCGAGCUCUUCGCAAUGUUGAAAGCUGCGGAGGUAGAAAUCAAAAAGGAGCAUCAAGUGUUGAUGGUCAACAAGACCACUAGUUUCAAGAAAAAGGGCAAAGGGAAGAAGAAGGGGAACUUCAAGAAGAAUAGCAAGCAAGUUGCUGCUCAAGAGAAGAAACCCAAGUCUGGACCUAAGCCUGAAACUGAGUGCUUCUACUGCAAGCAGACUGGUCACUGGAAGCAGAACUGCCCCAAGUAUUUGGCGGAUAAGAAGGAUGUCAAGGUGAACAAAGGUAUAUGUGAUAUACAUGUUAUUGAUGUGUACCUUACUAAUGCUCGUAGUAGCACCUGGGUAUUUGAUACUGGUUCUGUUGCUAAUAUUUGCAACUCGAAACAGGGACUACGGAUUAAGCGAAGAUUGGCUAAGGACGAGGUGACGAUGCGCGUGGGAAACGGUUCCAAAGUCGAUGUGAUCGCGGUCGGCACGCUACCUCUACAUCUACCUUCGGGAUUAAUAUUAGACCUAAAUAAUUGUUAUUUGGUGCCAGCGUUAAGCAUGAACAUUAUAUCUGGAUCUUGUUUGAUGCCAGACGGUUAUUCAUUUAAAUCAGAGAAUAAUGGUUGUUCUAUUUAUAUGAGUAAUAUCUUUUAUGGUCAUGCACCCUUGAAGAGUGGUCUAUCCUUAUUGAAUCUCGGUAGUAGUAACACACAUAUUCAUAAUGUUGAAGCCAAAAGAUGCAGAGUUGAUAAUGAUAGUGCAACUUAUUUGUGGCACUGCCGUUUAGGUCAUAUCGGUGUAAAGCGCAUGAAGAAACUCCAUACUGAUGGACUUUUGGAACCACUUGAUUAUGAAUCAAUUGGUACUUGCGAACCGUGCCUCAUGGGCAAGAUGACUAAAACGCCGUUCUCCGGUACUAUGGAGAGAGCAACAGAUUUGUUGGAAAUCAUACAUACAUAUGUAUGUGGUCCGAUGAAUAUUGAGGCUCGUGGAGGAUAUCGUUAUUUUCUCACCUUCACAGAUGAUUUAAGCAGAUAUGGGUAUAUCUACUUAAUGAAACAUAAGUCUGAAACAUUUCAAAAGUUCAAAGAAUUUCAGAGUGAAGUUGAAAAUCAUCGUAACAAGAAAAUAAAGUUUCUACGAUCUGAUCGUGGAGGAGAAUAUUUAAGUUAUGAGUUUGGUGUACAUUUGAAACAAUGCGGAAUAGUUUCGCAACUCACGCCACCCGGAACACCACAGCGUAAUGGUGUGUCCGAACGUCGUAAUCGUACUUUACUAGAUAUGGUGCGAUCUAUGAUGUCUCUUACUGAUUUACCGCUAUCGUUUUGGGGUUAUGCUUUGGAGACGGCCGCAUUCACGUUAAAUAGGGCACCAUCAAAAUCCGUUGAGACGACGCCUUAUGAACUAUGGUUUGGCAAGAAACCAAAGUUGUCGUUUCUGAAAGUUUGGGGCUGCGAUGCUUAUGUGAAAAGCUUCAACCUGAUAAGCUCGAACCCAAAUCGGAGAAAUGUGUCUUCAUAGGAUAUCCAAAGGAGACUAUUGGAUACACCUUCUAUCACAGAUCCGAAGGCAAAACUUUUGUUGCUAAGUUCGGAAACUUUCUAGAGAAGGAGUUUCUCUCGAAAGAAGUGAGUGGGAGGAAAGUAGAACUUGACGAGGUAACUGUACCUGCUCCCUUAUUGGAAAGUAGUGCAUCACAGAAAACUGUUUCUGUGACACCUACACCAAUUAGUGAGGAAGCUAAUGAUAAUGAUCAUGAAACUUCAGAACAAGAUACUACUGAACCUCGUAGAUCAACCAGAGUGAGAUCCGCACCAGAGUGGUACGGUAAUCCUGUUCUGGAAGUCAUGCUACUAGAUCAUGAUGAACCUACAAACUAUGAAGAAGCGAUGGUGAGCCCAGAUUCCGCAAAAUGGCUUGAAGCCAUGAAAUCUGAGAUGGGAUCCAUGUAUGAGAACAAAGUAUGGACUUUGGUUGACUUGCCCAAUGAUCGGCAAGCAAUUGAGAAUAAAUGGAUCUUCAAGAAGAAGACUGACGCCGACGGUAAUAUAAUUGUCUACAAAGCUCGACUUGUCGCAAAAGGGUUUCGACAAGUUCAAGGGAUUGGCUACGAUGAGACCUUCUCACCCGUAGCGAUCCUUAAGUCUGUCCGAAUCAUGUUAGCAAUAGCCGCAUUUUAUGAUUAUGAAAUUUGGCAGAUGGAUGUCAAAACUGCGUUCCUGAAUGGAUUUCUGGAAGAAGAGUUGUAUAUGAUGCAACCGGAAGGUUUUGUCGAUCCAAAGGGAGCUAACAAAGUGUGCAAGCUCCAGCGAUCCAUUUAUGGACUGGUGCAAGCCUCUCGGAGUUGGAAUAAACGCUUUGAUAGUGUGAUCAAAGCAUUUGGUUUUAUACAGACUUUUGGAGAAGCCUGUAUUUACAAGAAAGUGAGUGGGAGCUCUGUAGCAUUUCUGAUAUUAUAUGUGGAUGACAUAUUACUGAUUGGAAAUGAUAUAGAAUUUCUGGAUAGCAUAAAGGGAUACUUGAAUAAGAGUUUUUUAAUGAAAGACCUCGGUGAAGCUGCUUACAUAUUAGGCAUAAAGAUCUAUAGAGAUAGAUCGAGACGUUUAAUUGGACUUUCACAAAGCACAUACCUUGAAAAGAUUUUGAAGAAGUUCAAAAUGGAUCAAGCAAAGAAAGGGUUCUUGCCUGUGUUACAAGGUGUGAAGUUGAGUCGGACUCAAUGCCCGACCACUGCAGAAGAUAGAGAGAAGAUGAAAGAUGUUCCCUAUGCUUCAGGCAUAGGCUCUAUCAUGUAUGCAAUGCUGUGUACCAGACCUGGUGUGUGCCUUGCUAUAAGUCUAGCAGGGAGGUACCAAAGUAAUCCAGGAGUGGAUCACUGGACAGCGGUCAAGAACAUCCUGAAAUACCUGAAAAGGACUAAAGAUAUGUUUCUCAUAUAUGGAGGUGACAAAGAACUCAUUGUAAAAGGUUACGUUGAUGCAAGCUUUGACACUGAUCCGGACGAUUCUAAAUCGCAAACCGGAUACGUGUUUACAUUAAACGGUGGAGCUGUCAGUUGGUGCAGUUCUAAACAAAGCGUCCUAGCGGGAUCUACAUGUGAAGCGGAGUACAUAGCUGCUUCGGAAGCAGCAAAUGAAGGAGUCUGGAUGAAGGAGUUCAUAUCCGAUCUAGGUGUCAUACCUAGUGCAUCGGGUCCAAUGAAAAUCUUUUGUGACAAUACUGGUGCAAUUGCCUUGGCAAAGGAAUCUAGAUUUCACAAGAGAACCAAGCACAUCAAGAGACGCUUCAAUUCCAUCCGAGAUCUAGUCCAGGUGGGAGACAUAGAGAUUUGCAAGAUACAUACGGAUCUGAAUGUGGCAGACCCGUUGACUAAGCCUCUUCCACGAGCAAAACAUGAUCAGCACCAAGACUCCAUGGGUGUUAGAAUCACUACUGUGUAAUCUAGAUUAUUGACUCUAGUGCAAGUGGGAGACUGAAGGAAAUAUGCCCUAGAGGCAAUAAUAAAGUUAUUAUUUAUUUCCUUAUAUCAUGAUAAAUGUUUAUUAUUCAUGCUAGAAUUGUAUUAACCGGAAACAUAAUACAUGUGUGAAUACAUAGACAAACAGAGUGUCACUAGUAUGCCUCUACUUGACUAGCUCGUUAAUCAAAGAUGGUUAUGUUUCCUAACCAUGAACAAAGAGGUGUCAUUUGAUUCGAGGCGUGGAUCGGUAAUGCUGCAUCCAUGGGGGGGCAGACUAAUUUUGUUGGACUCAGUUGUCACCCAAAUAUCCUUAUAUCAUAUGUCUAUGUGGCUUAUGAGCAAAACCUUCAUUGAAAAACUUGAUAAACAUAGAAGGAAAUUCUUUUGGCAAGGUUGUAACAAGAAAAGGAGGUAUGAUUUGGUCAAAUGGGGUAGAAUAUGUAGAUCUCGAGAUAAAGGUGGCCUGGGAGUUAAAGAUCUUCGUAAACAAAACAUUAGUUUGAUGGUCAAAUGGUGGUGGAAACUCGAGACCCAAAAUGGCCUUUGGCAAAAAAUCGUCCGUGCCCGUUAUUUGAAAAAAAAGAAGUGUGGCUACGGUUGAACCCAGGUUCAAUGAUUCUCCGUGCUGGAAAGCCCUUCUUAAAGUUAAGGCCAUGUAUAUGACUGGUAGAAAGAUCAAAACGGAAUCAGGAGAUCUAACUAGAGUGUGGAAAGACUCUAUUAAUAGGUCUAGACCAUUCCAGGACUGUUAUCCCCUGCUGUUUGGCAUAUGCACUGAGCAGGACUGCACUGUCGCAAAAGUCAAAGCUGUGACUCCCAACACCUUCUUUAGAAGAAGGCUUACCCCUGAUCUUCAGAGGCAAUGGGAGGAUAUGAGGAAAUAUAUUGACAGUAUACAGCUGGGAGUAGGGGGGACCAAGUAUACUGGGGGCUAAAUGGUAAUGGUAGAUUUCUACGAAAUCUAUGUACAAAUGGCUAGAAAACCCUCUUAGUGGUUGUCACUAUAGAUGGAUUUAGAAGGCCAAGAUCCCCCUCAAAAUCAAAAUUUUCCUGUGGCAGCUAUCUCAGGAUGUUGUCUUGACUAGGCAAGUUAUGAAGGAGAGGAGAUGGCAUGGGGAUCCCAAAUGCUCCUUUUGUGACAAUAUUGAAUCAUCCCGGCAUUUGUUUUUCACUUGUCCUGUGGCUAAAGUGGUGUGGCGUUGUGUUGGGAUAGCUUUAGGGACGGACCUCUGUCCAAACAGUUACUGGCAAUAUUUCUCCUGGUGCCAUACUUUCCUUCCCUAUGGGAAGAAAUACUAUACUGUUGGCCUGGCGGCCGUUUGCUGGGCUAUCUAGUUGGCUAGAAAUCGAGCCAGCUUUGAGAAGAAACAGAUUAAGACACCGUUUUGAGAUUGUGUUUUUCGUGUGCUCCUUUUUGCUAUAUUAGGCAGGUCUUCAGCAAGGUGAUGGAGUCAAGGAGCUGCGCAGUGGGGCGGCGAUGGUCAGGUCAAGCACUAUGUGCAUGAUGAAGAUGUGCGAGGCGGCGAGGAGACCGAUCGAGGGAGAAUGAUCUCGCAAUCUCGCCUGCUUUCAGAGUUGCUGCUGUCGUUUCCAGCUGAUGUCCGUUUUCUAUUUGGCUCUUGUGAUGAGCUUUUGGCUGUAAUAGACUAUAGUAUUUCAGGUUGUCGUUGAACUAUGGUGUUGUCAGGUUUUCGCCCCAUGGCGUUCGUUUCGAUGUCGGGCGAAUGCAGUAGGUUUCCUGGCAGUGCCCGAACUCGCUGCACCUCUUUCCCUUUUCUCCUGUUUGUUUCUCGGAACAAUGUAUUUCCGUUCAUUUGCAAUGGAAAGGGGUCAUGCCCGGUUCGAAAAAAAAAUCAUUUAUUUUCUUUCUUUCGUUCUUUCUUUAUGGCAGAAUACUCAUAGAGCUGAGAUAGCAGCUCCCACUCUAGGAUCAUCAUAUAAACUGACCAUCAUCUUCUGAAGAUGCUUUCGGUUUGUUUGGAUAUUGGAUGUUCUACUCUCGGGUGUACUACACACCCGAGGUUGCAAAAACCUUUAAAAAUGCGAUCAAACCUAAUACAAAAAAUCUGAAAAUUUGAGACAUCCAUCUUUAUCAAAUGUUUGAGCAUCUUGCAAAUUUCAACCAAAAAAAACAUCCGAGGAGCUUUCACUGAAAAAAAAAAAA
rnacentral:lncRNA from 1 species